CAUUUUGCCCCUAUACUUUUGACUUCUUUACAAUUUAGUCCCUAGGCUCGUAAAAUGAAAUUCAUGCAAUUUCAUCAACAUCUAAGCCUAGCUGAAUUUACUAUAUACUUAUAGCAGCCCACACACUCCACAAAUUGACAUAUUUAACACACAAUUUUCACAUUUCACAAUUUAACCCCUAAUUGGUAAUUUCAUUAAAAUUCCUUUAACAAAAGUUGUUUAUUUAACAACAAAGUUUCAUUUUCUUCCAUUAAACUUCAAAAUCCUAGCAUUUUCAUCAAUGGAAAAUCUCAAACUAUUCAAUAGUUUUGCAAAUUAGUCCCCUAGUUAGCUAGGUUAAGCUACAACGAUCCCGAAAACAUAAAAAUCGUAAAAAACGGGCUUAAAAAUCACUUACGUGUAAGGGUUUAAGUUGCUGAAAUUUUGAGCUCUCCAAUGGCUAUUUUCUUGGUGAAAAAGCAGUGGAAGAUGAAGAAAGAAUGAAGCAUUUUUCUUUUGUUUUAUUUAAUUUACUAUUAAUUACCUAAUUACCAUUUUUCCCUUACCUAACUUCAAAAACUACUCAAUUACCAAGCCAUGCACAUCCACUAACUCAUUUAAUGGUCUAGUUACCAUUUAAGGACCUCCAUUGUAAAUUUCUAUAGCUAUUUAACACAUUUAGCUAAUAGAACACAACUUUCACACUUUAGGCGAUUUAGUCCAUUUUUGCAAAUCGAGCAUACCAACGAUAAAAUUUCUUAACAAAUUUUUUAUACAAUAAUACUAUCAUGCUUUAGACCACAAAAUAAUAUUAAAAUAAAUUUUACGACCUCAUAUUUGUGGUCCCAAAAUCACUGUUCCGAUUUCACUGAAAACGGCCCGUUACAUGUUAAAUUCUUAUGCAUGCCCUUUUGAAAGUGAAUAGUAUUGGUUGUUUUGACAUGUUUUAGGCUUUUUUAAAUGUGUUUUUAAAGUAUGGAUAUGGUUAGUUUUGAUUGGGCUUGGAACCUGGGGGUUAGAUGAAAGUUUGCCUUGUUUUAAUUUUUGGGUGCAGGAUUUUUCACACGGUCACAGUUAGUUACACAAUCUGGCCACACAGGCAUGUGGGGAGGCCACGCAGCCUAGGCUAUACCACACAGCCUGGCCACACGACCGGGGUUGACAACACAUCUCAAACAAUCAUCAGGGGUACAAGCCAUUUCAUCGAAAACUCUCUAUGUGUUCUCCAGCCAAUAUUCAGCCCUGACCGGAUCAUCUUCCGCUUUUCCUCGGAACUCUUUAGCCCCACAUUUUCUGAUCUUAUCUAUCGGAGGUUGUCGUACGCUUUUCGUAUUACGAGAAUGAAGCAGUAUUAGAUGAGGCACAAUAGGGGCGGAGGUUGCAGCGUCAUAGGAUUAGUUCUCAUAAAUUCAGGUAACCACCAAUUCAUCAUCCCAAAGAAGACAUUUCUCGCCUCAUUUUCGGGUAUUUGCGAAACGGGGAUACUGUGAUUUGCUUCCUGAUCGGAAGCCGGAACAUUACUAUCUACUUUAUCAAAGACGGUAUGGUUUGAUUGGCCGACAUCUUUUAUAUCUAUAAAAAAAAUAGUCAGAUCGGAUCAAAAGACAUCACAUUAUCAUAAAUUAUCGUGGCAUGUGUUUUCUAGACUCGAUCACACUAUCAUAGUAUGUGUCAUAAGUGAUUAUACAUGAACUUGUUUGACCUUGGGUGAUAUAACCAACUGAGACCAAUGAGAAAAAGGAAGAAAUCCUUCUAAAGGAACCCCCUUAUUAUCAUAUUUAGUUGGAGGCAUACAUCUUCCCAACAAAACUAAAUCUAACUGUUUUUGUGAGCAUUAUGGCUUUGUCAAGAGAUAAAGCCGUGUGAUGGUUAAGGUAAUGACAUAUCUAGUGGUGGAUAUUAAAUCUGGUGUGAUUAUAUUACAUGUUUAUCUGGUAUUGCUGUUGAACGAGGUGUAUGUACUUUAUACCAUCAUGUACUCUUAUCAUUUGUAGCAUGCCUGUAUGCAUUUAAGUAGUUUGUUACUAUUUGUAGAGCGAUUAUAGUGUUUGUGAACAUAAAAUAAGUUGCUCACAGUGUUGGUGUCGUCCGGAUGAGUUGCUUAUUUUUCUAAACUUGCAUCAUUUCAAAUACUUCCGGUAAAUAUUAAGGGCCUAGCUGGGAGUGUAGCGACAUUAGCAAAUUGGCUGACAUCGUAGGUGAUUACUAUGAUGGCAAACUUCUGAACUAGAGUGGUGGAGGUCUUUGCCUCUCCCAAUAUGUGUGUUUAGUUGCAAUGUACAAGUUAAGAAGAAUCUAUAUAAACAAACAUGCUUGCAUCUUAUGAGCAGGAACAUUCACUAUUUACGCGGUUGUGGCGGCAUUCACGGUUGUGUAUGUGGCACUUUGGGGCCCUGAAACCAAAGGGAGUUCAAUCUUCCUUAGAUAAAAACGUUCGUCAGUGUAAUGCAUUUACCGAUUUGAUUUUCAAAAUUGUUAAGAGUACAUAUGCGCAGUUCAUGUCCAGCAAACCUGUACCAUGUAUUGUUUCCUUGUUGUUUGAUAACAUGUUUGCACUACCCUUUUAAAAGGAAAAAAGAAAAAGAAAAAGGAAUUUGUUCUUAAUUAUACAAUCAACUCUGUUUAUAUAUAGAUUUUUUUGUAGACUCAUUUGAAUCCCAAAAUUUAGAUGUUAUAAAGUGGUGAUUACAAUAUGUCUAUAAUUGUAUUCAAGAUACAUUUAUAUCAGCAUAUAAAAUUUAGAUCAUGUUUAAAUUUUUAAAAUUUAAAUUAAAAUAAUAUUAUGUCAAAAGAUUUUUUUUAUUUAAUAAAAUGUUAUUAAUAUAACUUUAAACAUUAAUUGAAAUAUUAUAAUUAAUUUUUUUAUAUUUCAUUUAAGAAUAAAAUUAAUUUUAUUUUAUAAUAAAAAUUGUUAUAAAAAAAUUAUUUAGUAAAUGGUGUGUUUUAUAUUUUAUUGAUGGUAUAGAUGAAAAAAGUUGUUAUAGAUGAUGAAAAUACAAAAAAAAAAAAAUCACAAUAAUUGCACUGUAUAAUUAUUUCUUUGCUAGAAAACUGAAAGGUUUUGUAAUAAAAUAAUAAUCCAGUACAACAAAAGUCCCUUAGCACACACACCCCAGUUCCUCUUCUGUAUUUAUGAGAGCAAAGUUUGGCAUGGGAUUGAAAAACCAUAAACUCAUUUGUUAACUUGUUCAGCAUACAGUGAAGCCAGGAAAUGCUUAAGGCAGCUAUUGUAAACACAAGGUCGCUCCAGAUGAACCAAGUGACCUGCCUUUUGUAUGCCUUUGAAUGUUGUAUUCUCUCCUAGUUGUCUGCAUCAUCAAUAGAAAAUUUUAUAUAUAUAUAUAUAUCCAAUUAUCCAAAAAAAAAAAAAAGAACCCUCAAAUCUAAACUUGUUUUCUAUCUAGUUUUUGAGAUCAUAAAACAUACUCUUUCAUGUUGUAAGCAAGCUCCUGCUUGAAGAUCUGAUCUUCUUCACCCCACAGCAGAUGUAUUCUCUGCAAAAUCAUAAUAUAACAAAACUGGAGUAAGCAAUUUCUUUUCGAAAAAUCUACCAUUAAAAAAACAAAACAAUAAAGGCAAAUGCAGAUAACCUGUGGAAAAGAUGGUAUGGUGGCAUCCUUAUUACUAAUGACCAAACCCUCCAGUAGUUCAGCUCUCUCUUUCCUGUUGGUAAACAUCACCUGUAAUUCCAUCCAGGGUCAUUCAUGAUCUCAGUUUCAGAAAGUUUCCUAAUAUAGUAGUAGAAUAUUUUUACCCUGUAUUUUCUCUCUUUUUUCUUUUCCUGUGAAACUUUAUUUUCUAAUUCAAUGAUCCAUUAAUUUUUGCUAGGACCACCUGUAGCUAUAACUAAAGGGAAAGGCAGACCUCUCGGUUAACCAAUUCACUUGGUGUAAUAAAGUAGGCACAGUCAGUUGAGCUAAUUAUAAACCUUGUACUUCCAAACAUGUUUCUCAUUCUUGUUUUGUUCCUUUGUGUCGAAAGUUUACCUAAUUCAUUUGCUUUUAUAUAAUUAUACUAUAUGUUUAAAAGAUAAUAAGCCAACAUACUUAACACUAGAAUCCUAAUACGUGCCUCAUACAGGGACAUUAAUCCAAACCCCAUGAAAAUCAUGUGAAUCACCAGCCAGCCAUGCAUGCAAAAUGUUCAUUAUGAUAGAAUAAACAUUGUUGAUGAUGAUAAAGAGUAAUAAAAUGUAAAGGAACCUCAAGAUAGUCUUUGUGGAGGCGAUCAGGGAACCAAAGCUUCUUGUAAGCAGCAACGGAGAGAAGAGCUUUAAGACCCUUAACAGAAUUAGGCAACAACAGUUCUGCAGAAGACGAGAACCCUAGCCUGUUUAAUGUUUCCACGCUUAUGGAAUCAGUCAUGGCCAGGAUCGAGCCAGACACCACCAUGGCUUCCACCAUGUGAGGGUACAUCUGCGCCAUCUUGAAUGCCACCAUCCCACCAUAGCUGAACCCCACAACCACACACUUCUCGACACCAAGUUUCCUUAAACCCUGAACCAAGUACUCGGCUUGGAAAGUCGGUGACCGGUCUGGUUUGUCAGUAAUGGAGCCACCGAAGAAGAGAAGAUCGGGUACAUAAACCGAGUACUUCUUCGUCAAAGCACCCACUUGGAAUUGCCAUGUGACAAUGCCUUCUGCUGCAAAGCCAUGCACUAAGACCACCACUGGUUUUGUUGGUUUCUCCAAAUGGGUGACCUUUUUUUCACCCUUCCCGGGUUUCUUGACUGUUUCACAAGGAACCCAAAAGUUCAUCACCGUGCCUGGCUCGAUCUCCACCGAGUAAGGCUGAACCCCCGCCAUCUUCAUUAACCCAUUCAUCAGUGGCUUUUGUGCUGCUACAAGAUUCACCAUUUUUUUUCUCUCUUGUUUUCUUUAUCUUCGCCUACCUUUUCCCCUUGAUUUAAAGCAGUGAUGUAUAGAACGUAAGCUAAUCCAAGGUAUUUAAAAUUCCGAGGAAAGCCAGGUUUGGUUAUAGGUUGUUAUCAGAAACAUUAAAAAGGUCAGAAAUUUCAACGCACUUCAUUGCCAUUGUGGGCUUGGUAACCAGCUCGAUUGGUCUUUGAAUUGUUAAAAGCCAAAACCAAUAACGAUGACCAAAGGUAGCACAUUCGAAAACCUAAUCAACGUAACGAAUCCAAAUCAUAGAUUCUACAGUUUCUUACACGAAAUCCCUAUUACUCAAAUGGGCACACGUUCUUUUAAAAAAAAAGUAAUUUAAUUUACAAGGUUGUUUGAUUUUUGAUCACCUACACUACCUACUCACAUCAGCAUGAUUUCCAGGACCCAUUGAAAUCUUUCCUUAAAUUUAUAGGCAUUUUAGGUAAGUGGACUGUCCCCGUAUUGACGUUUGCAUGUUUUAUCCAAACAUUUUCCUUGUAUUUUUGUUUUCAAGUUUAACCAAAUCCUGCAUAUAAUUUAUUGGAAAGAUAGGUAAACUUGAAUCCUGAUCAAUUAUGCAACAAUUAAUUAAUUGAAUCAAAUGUUUGAAUGUAAAUUUGAUGAUAUUAAAAAAACCUAUUCUUUUAUCUUUUAAAUGGUGAAAAAAUUGAAAUUAAAUUAUAUAUAUAUAGCUUUGUAUUUCAUACGAACUAAUACAUUAUUAGUAAAUCAUAUCCAUAUAAAUCGUCGAUAAAUUAAUAAAUAAUUUUAAAAAUCAAUAUAAUUAUUAUAUAUAUAUUUCAAUACUCAACUGUUGACAGUCUUCUGGCUUACUCACGGUUUUUGAAGUUGUACACUAUCAGAGUCAAAUAUAAACGCAUAUAUACCAUCAUCGCCUAGAAUUUAAUUUGAGAGGGUUCUUAUUUUUGUGGUAUUUUAGUUUGGUUUUUAUGUUUAAUUUGAUACUUAAAUUAAAUUACAUUGUAUGACCUAAAAAAUACUUGACAUAUAUGCUCUAUCAAAUUAAAUAUUAAUAAAAACUUUAGUAUCAAUUUGAGGAAACUCAACAUUGAAGUCAUAUUUAAUUUUAAAUUAAACUUUGAUCCUAAAUUUAAAUAUCAAAUAUAUUAACCUUAAAAUAAAAACUAUAAAAAAUAUGAAAAUAUCUCAUUGUUUAACUUUAUCAAUUCAGUAAUAAAUUACUGGUUCAAAUACUAAAUUACCUGUACUAAAAAUAGGUUUAACACUAUUGAAAUAUGGAAUAACCUUUCGUUCUGAAAACUGGGCAAAAGAAAUUAUCGCUUUCAGAAAGCUACUAAUAAUACUUAAAAGAAUUUAGUCUGGUUUGCCAGGUGCUGUCAAAUUUAAUUACGAUUAAGAAUGCUUUAAUCAAAGACACAUUCAAACAAUCAAUCUGGUUAACAGGUGUCAGCUUUGCACAAAAUUUGAUGCAGAAAUAUUAAUAAAGCAUAUUAAUCUUUAAGAAAUGGAUAAAUAAAUCUAUGUUCUUUUUAGUUUUUCUGUUGGUUCUUAUAUAUCAACUUAACGUAUACGUAUGUCUAAUUAUUUUAUUAAUUACAUUAAAUUUUAACAAUACAGAGUAAAUGAUGAGGUUUUUAAAAUACAUUAUAUUUAUUUCUAAAAAUAUAUAUUUACUAAUAAAAUAUGGAAUCAUUAUAAUAAAAUUUAUAUUGAAAUCUAACCACCAUAAUAUAAUAUUAAUAAAAAAAAUAUCGUUUUAAUAUUAUAUUCAAUAUUUAUAUGAAUAGAAUAUUAUAAAUUAUGAAUAUGUUUAAUGAUUUUACAUUUUCAUUCUGACCUUUGAUUUCUCUCUCCACUUUACCUUCUCAAUUAAAUGCUCUCUCCCUCUCCUAUUUUUAAAAAAAUGAAUAUAUCCAUUAUCUUCUUUAAAAAUUUGUAGCGCACUGUCACAAUGACCACCGUUUACCGCCAUUAGCUGGCAUCCCUUAUUUCUCAGAUUUGGUUGCUUUAUUAUUAUUAUUAUUAUUAUUAUUAUUUUAUUGUAUUUUUUCUAAAUCGACUUUUAACAUAAAAAAUAUUUCGAAGCUUUCAUCUGCAUUUCAUUUUUCACUGUUCCGACCUCUACGAUUUUGUGCUGUUUUCUUUUUUAUAUUUAAAGAAAUAAACUAAAAAUGUAUUCUACAAUCUGUAUUUUUUGAUAUUUAGACACAUUAGCUCAUUUAAUUAGGUAAUUAAAUAUUAGUAUUUUUGUUUUUAAAUCUUGGAUUCGAUUUAUUUUUUUCUUAUAUUUGUAUUUUUAUUUCAUUUGUUUUAAGUUUUAAUUUCAUUUUUAAUUAUUAUUUUUAAUACAUUAACUUCUUUGGUUAGAUACUUAAUUAAUAAUAGUUUUAUUCUUCAAUUUCAAGUUCGAUUCCCUUCUAAGUAUGUUUAUUUUUUUAUUUCAUGUUAUUUCAAGUUUUUUUUAUUUUUAAUUAAUAAAUAUAUUGUUUUUAAGUUUUUUUAAUUCGUCUUUUUAAUUAAUAACUCUUUUAUUUAUAAAAUCCAAUAAUUAUUUUCAAUUAUAUAAAAAAUAUAUUUUUGAUAAAAUUGAUAUUUAUCAUUAUGUUAAAUAUAUAUAUUUUUAAAUCAGCAACUAAUUUUUUUUGAUAUAUUUUUCUUUAUAUAUAAUAUUUAUAUGUCGAAUAUUUAUUUUCUCCACCUAUAUUGUGGGUAUGGUGAUUUUUAAUAUUAUAAAAUCAAAUCAUUAUUUCAAAUAUCAUUAUUAUUUUUAUAUGUAAAAUAUUUCAAAUAUCAUUGUUUUUCAUCUACUUUGUAGCUAUGAUAUUUCAAAUAUUUUAUAUGUGAAUUAUAUUUCAAUUAAUUAUUUCAAAUAUCAUUAUAUUUAUAUGUGAAAUAUUUCAAAUAAUUAUUUCAAAUACACAUACAAAAAUAUAUAAUACUAAAAUCUACUACACUCAUCAUGGUAUGGAUUGAAAGAUAAAUAUUACUCAUAUAAAAAUUAUAUUUACUAAAAAUAAUGAUAUUUUGCAAUAAUUAUUUUAUUUUAUAAAUAAAAGAGUUAUUAAUUAAAUAGAUGAAUUAAAAAAAAAACUUGAAAAUAAUAUAUUUAUUAAUUAAAACAAAAGCUUGAAACAAGUUGAAAUAAAAAACACAAAUGUGUAAAGGAAAGAAAUUGAACUUAAGAUUUAAGAAUAAAAUCAUUAUUACUUAACCAUAUAUAUAACCAAAAGAGCUAAUAUGUUAAAAAUAGUAAUUAAAAAUAAAAGUAACUCUUAAAACAACAUGAAAUAAAAAUACAAAUGUGGGUAGGAGAGGAAUCAAACCACUAACAUUUAACCAUCUCACCAAAAAAACUGGUGUCAAAAAGUCAAAAAAUGCGUAUUACGACGCACAUUUUUAUGACAUGUUGGUGAAAACAUGACUUAUAGGAUGUGUUUUCAGCAGAACAUACUUCCUACCGGAUAUGUUUUUUGUUUCUCUCUUUAAAAUUCACCUAUUUACGUAAAUACCUCAAAAAUCGACCCAAAACUUUAAAUAUAUUUUAAAAUCAACAUUUCUUUUUUCAUAUUCCACCUGAAAUCAAGUAACCAAAACCCAUGUUUUCUUUCUUUUUUUCAAUUGUUUUGCAUUUUUACAUUGAUGAUCUGUUGGAUCAUUUCAAGCUAUGUUUUACGUUGAUUCAAGAGAGUUAUUAGAGAGAAUUUCAAAAGAAGAAACGAAACCAUUCGGUGGAGAAGUUAAAUAUGUAUAAUUCAUUUCUAAAAUAUUUCAAAUCAAUUGCAAUCUGAUUUUAUUCAAACAAAAAAUUUUACCCUCAUUCUGGCAUAUUAAUAAUUUAGCAUGAAAGAUCAACUGUAUUUCUAAGUCAAACCCUAUGUUUUAGCUAAAUUUCAUAUUUAAUCUUUGCAAUAAAAAAUUAAAAUUAAAAUUAAUGUUCCAAAAUUUUUAAUUUUCAACAUCUUAAUUCAAAUGUUUACCCCUUAAUAUUUAGUUUCAUAAAUUAGGAGUAAGAUUCAUAAAAGUAUUAUAAAAGUUGGUGUACUAGAAAUCAAAUUGUAUAUUAUUAUUUUUACUAAAAAAUAGGUAAAUUAGUCUUUAUACCUUAAAAUAAAGAGUAAACUGAUAUUUUUAUUAAAAUUUUUAUUUAUUUUUACUGUUAAAAAAUACGUCAACAGGGUUAGCAGCAACAAGUAAAAUUACAGGGAGCCAACCAUUGCUAAGGUUGUAAAUGGACAGAACAUUUGGUGAACAAUUCAUGAAUAGUUCAGUUUUAUUCGUUCAUUAAAUUAAAUAAAUGAACAUGAACAAGACCUUGAGGCUCAUUUAUUAAGCAAACCAAACACAAAUAGAACUUGUUCAGUUCAUUUAUGUUUAUUUAAAACUUAUUCCAUAAAUCAUUUAAAGCUUAUUUAUUGUUCUAUUAGUAUAUUCAUUUAUGUUUAUUUAAAACUUAUUCCAUAAAUCAUUUAAAGCUUAUUUAUUGUUCUAUUAGUAUAUAUUAAUAAAAUCAUUUUAUUUGUAUUUUUUUUCAUUUAUAAUACAAUUAUUAAUAUUAAUAUUAAUAUUUAACUAUUUUAUAUCUAAAAAAUAAUAUAUUUAUUGUUUAUUUAUUUGUUACUCAUGAACAUUGUUUAUAAAUAUAUUCAAUUAUAUAUUUAUAAAUAAUUUUUUAGAAUAUGUUUGUAAAUAUUAAAUAAACAAAUAUAAAUAUAUUUAAUUUUAAAUAAAUAAACACAAAAAAAAUUUAAAAUUCUUUAACCAACACGAAUUCAACAUGAUCAACUUAAAAAUAGAUAAAACAAACAAAGUUUAUUUAUUGAAGUUGGAUUCCUAAUCCUAACCAAUUCCCAACAAAACUCCAGCAGUCAACUCCCCACUCAAUUUUGGGAGAGAGCAGGGAGCAGUAGCUAGCUAUAGGUGCUACGUUUAUGUUUCCAACACUUAAAUGUGGGCAAGAAAUGAAACGUGUGCAACAUUAUUUCACAUAAAUGCAACUAGUAAUCUAUGGAAAGAAGUGUUAUAUAUGGACUUGCUCCAUUUUCUACCUCCUUCAACACGCUUUUUGGAAUGGGAGAUCAUGAUCUCAGACCAACCCCCAAUGUAAUUAAAUUUCUUUUACUAUAUAUUUAUUUUAUCAAAUGUUUCUUUUCAACUCCAUGUAGAUAUCCAUAAAGUUAAUGGUUAGUUGGUUUUAAUUUAUAUGACACUGUUCAAUAUUUUUGAUGAUUUGAGUUGUAAAAAUAAAAAUUGUAAAUGCUAAAUGUUUAAUUUAUAUGAUUAAUGAUGGCCUAUAUGUCUAUAUGUCUUUGUUGGCACAAUGGCCAUAUUUGGCUUAUGUUUUGGCAUAUUUUGGUAUGUUUAUAAGUUGUCUUAAUAUGGUUGAUAUGUGGCUUGAUUUGUGGUUGAAUGAUAAAAGGUAAUAUGAUAACUAAACGUAUAUUUGUUAUAUGUGUCUUGUGAUAGAAUGGUUGUGUUUAGGUAAGUAAAUUAUUUGGUAUGUAUUGGUGCAAAUAUGCAUGUAAGUUAGUUGAUUAUUUGGUCAAAUUGAAUACAUGAUUAGGCCUGUUUAUACAUUGUCAUUUGAGGUGCUUAAGGGCAUAUUAGUUGUAUGAUAUUAUAUCAGAUGUAUAAGAGUUGUUUAUGCUUGAUUUGGAUGCCUUGUAAUGGCUUGCAAGUAUGUGCAAUGUUGUAUGUAGGUACAUGCCAAUUUGGGUGAGAAAAAUGACUUGUAAAAUGACUUAUUUUCGUCCACACGGGAAGAGACACAGACGUGUGUCUCAGCUAGGGGUGAGCAAAACUCGAUUCGACUCGAAAAAAUCGAAAAAAAAUUCGAAUUUUGAGUUAAACAAAUCGAGUUAUUCGAAUCAACUCGAUUUUUUUUCGAAUUUCGAGUUUGAAUCGAGUUGAGUUUUCUAAUUCAAAUAACUCGAAUAAUUCGAAUAAUUCGAAUAUCAAACUAUAAUAUUUUACAUUUUUACCCCAAACUCCCAAACCUUUUUACUUUUCCCUCAAAACUUUUACUCCUUCCCACUUUCCCCCCAAAACUUUUACUCCCCUCCCCUCCCAACCCCCCAAUCUACCCAAAAUCCAUUUCCCACCAAAAUUUUACUCUCCCAUUUAUUUUUUCUCAAAAUUUUACUCCCCAAAACCCUCAAAACCUUUUAUUUUCCCCCAAAAUUUUUACUCCCUCCCACUUUUCCCCUAAAACUUUUAUUCUCUUCCCAUCCCACCUCCCAUUUAUUUCAAACCCUCCCCCUCCAAUUUUUUUUAAAUAUUUUCCCUCCAAAAUUUUACUCCCCCUAUUUACUUUCCCUCAAACUUUUAUUCCCCAAAGCUUUUUAUUUUUCCCCUAAACUUUUACUUCUCACACUUUACUCUCAAAUAAAAAAUCAAAAUUAUCCAAAAAAAAUCACUAAACAUAAAUAGUAAUAAUUUUAUUUAUAUCUACUAUUUAUAUUAUUAAAUUAAAUUUCACAUUUUAUAUUAUUUAUAUUAUUGAAUUGUUUAGUCAUAUUGAAUAUUUAUAUUAAAAUUGAAUUAUUAAUUAUGCUAUAAAAUAUUCGUGUUAAAAUUUUAUACUGGUAUUAAUUUCACAUUUUAUUUUUGAAAUAACUUUUAUUAAAAAUCAUAUUUUUACAUUUAAUAUAUUUUUUAAUUCUAAAAUACAUAGUGACAAGAAUAUGAAGAUAAUUGAAACAACUAAGCAAGCAAAGAAGCUAACCAAUAUAUAAAAAAAUUAAUAAAUAAAUUAUGAAGUGAUGAAAGUUAAUAAAAAAUUUGAUUAAUGUGGACAAAUUUUAUUACGAUGGGUGACAAUGGUUACAAGGACCCAAAAUUAUUUUUUUAAAUUUACCUCGAACAAAUAUAUUCGAUUCGACUCGAUUCGAAAAAACUUCAAAUAAAGUUAGGAUGAUAAAAUGAGAUUCGAAAACUCGAUUAACUCGAAAAUUUUUUAUUCAAUUCGAUUCGAUUCGAUCGAAUGCUCACCCCUAGUUUCAGCUGUGUGUGACACACGGCCAUAUAACACGCCCGUGUAUCCCCUGUAGCUUUCAAAGAGUUGCAAUUCAGGCUCUUACACGGCCUAGCAAACGGUUUGGUACACGGGCAUGUGGGGUUACUUUGAAGGGUACACGGCCUAGCGCAUGGGCAUGUAGCUUGGCCAUGUGGCCUAAGCCAGUGAGUUACACGAGUACAGACACACAGCCGUGUGUCCCUAUUUCGAAUGCCCACACGACUGUGUGAUCCCUGCAGUAUUGAAAAUUUUCAAUGUUUUCUGAAAAUUUCUCUGAGUUUUCGAAUUAGUCCCAACUUGUUUCUAAUGUGUAUUUUGGGCUUCGAGGGCUCGUAUAAGGGACAAUUUAUUUGUUUGAAAUCAGUUUUUAAUAUGUUUAAUGAUAUGUUAUGAAAUGUUUGAAAUUUCUGUCCAUUUGAAUUGUAAACUCUGGUAAUGCUCCGUAACUCUAUUCCGGUAACAGAUACGGUUUAAGGGUGUUACAAUUCCACUCCCAAGACCACUAGUAAAAGCCCAUGCCACACUGGCAGACUUAAACCUAUUUAAUAUUUUCUACUUCUAUUCUACACUCGGGUUGAAAUGUUGUUUGGAUUACUCUCUUGUAAUCUGCCCUAUUUACGAUACUUUGCUUUUAAGGUGUAACAUGUCCGUAUGCAGCGGACCAUUUUGGCAUACAAUAUUCGGCAGACUAUUAUUUGAGUGACCAUUCGAGUUUACGACCUCCCUUAUAUGAUGGUUCCUUACGAAACUAACUCUCUGGCGGGUAUACUCGCAAUAGAUCCUCCUCAAAGAGAAAUAGUCUUAACAGACAUAACUGUCACUUGGAUAAUCCUUAUUAAUACCUCUUUUUGGCAGUUCUUAAUGGCAGAUCCUUAUCUACGAUCCUAAGAUAAAUCCUCUUUCAUUUGCUUAUAUACAAGGCAAUACCGACACAUCAUUCCCAUAUGUAAUUCUUGUUGGGUUAGACCAUAUGCCCUACUGGCUUCCAUGUUUACCAUUUUGGCAGACUACCCAGUGUUUAUUAUCUUGAUAAACUACCUCAUUUUUAUUGUCCCGGUAGACUAUCUUGUUUUUGUUGUCCUAGCGAACUACCCAAUAUUUAUUAUCCCAGUAGACUACCUCGUUUUUAUUGUCCCAAGGAACUAUCUCAUGUUUACUAUCCUGGUGGACUCUCUAUGUUGCCAUAGUCGAGCUAUGGUCUUACACAUCAUACCCCAUGUUUAAUGUCCUGACGAACUCUAUUGGUUUCCAUAGUUGAGCUAUGGUCUUACACCUCAAACCCUAUGUUUAGUGUCCUGGUAAACUCUAUUGGUUGUCAUAGCCGAACUAUGGUCUCACACCUCAUACCCCAUUACAGCCCAUUUAUUCCACCUCACUUCUAACCUUGAUGCUCCAACACCGCAGUGUCCCUUCCACAAGGCCUAGAGCUUCGCAUAUCACUGUUUAUACCCAAAAAUUUUUAGAUUGAGGUAAAUGGAAACUCCAUUUCCUAAACCAUCCGUCCAAUCCUCUACAUCACCAAAUCUUAACUUCAUCUAACUUGUCAAUAAUUUUUCCUCCGUACUCCACUGUUAUAAACAUGCAAUACAUGCAUUUCAAAAACAUACUAAUAUGGAGUACGCUACCUUUUAGGCAUGAAAUCAUAACCAUAUCAUGUAUAUCAAAAUACAUGCGCGAAUACUCAUAUACCUACAUUAUCUUAUACAUGCAUAACAUUCUCAAUCAAUAAAGAUCAUUUAACAACCAGAAAGUUAGUGGUGUCGAAAAUAGUGGUUUCGAAACCCUAUUCUCCAAUGAUCGAGUCUGUAAAUAUUAUUAAACAAUAUUUACGAGUUAACUAUAAUAUUAUUAAAAUUUGGUCAAACGAAUUCAUUAAUUGGAUAGUUAGUUAGGGUACAAGUGUAACAACCUGAUUUUAGUGGGAUCGAAAACAACAGUUUUAAAACCUCGUAAUUUAAAAAUCGAGUCUGUAAAUAUUAUUUAACAAUACUUAUGAUUCUAACAUAAAUUUAAAUUGGAUUAAGAUCUGAUAAAAUAUCUAAUUUGACAAUUAGUUAAGUCAAGUGGUUUGACCCUAAAGUCAGUGAUUUUGGAAAAUGAGGAAUCAUGACCUUGUUUUCAUAAAUCGAGCUCAUAAAUAUCUUUAUUAAAUAUUUAUGGAGUUUUAUAUAAGUGAAUUAAAUGUUGGUCCAAAAGUUUUAAUGAUUAUAUGGUUAAUUAGGGUACAAGGACUAAAUCGUAAAAGUGAUAAAAUUAAUCGCUAUUAAUUUUUAUUGAUUAAAAGAACUAAAAGAGUAAUUAAUCAAAGAUUAAAGUGGAAAUAAUUCCAAUAUGGAUGCUAAUAUAUGGUUGAGUGAUGUUUAGGUUGUGAUUAAUGUUAAAAUUAUUAUAAUUAUAUUAAUGUAAAAAUUUAUAAAGGAUAAAAUAAUAAAAAAAAGUUAUCAUCACCAUAAUUUUUGCUUCUUUCAUCGAAACCACAAAGAGAAGAACCAAGUAGUCAUUUUUUUUGCUUCAAGUGCUUUCAGCCAUUGCAUGGUAAGAUUUUCAAAGCCCAUUUUUAGUAAAUUUUAUGUUUUUAAUAUCGUUGUAGCUCAAUGUAGAUAAUUCAUAUCUUAUUUAUCAAAAAUAUUAAAGUUUAAAAAUGUUUCCAUUGUUAUUACUUGAAGCUUUUAAUGUUAAAUGAUUGGUUGUUAAGCUUAGAAAUGAAAAUGGACUAUUUUGUAAAGUGAAAUUGAUGUUUUUGUUAAAAGGACUACAGUGUAAAUAUUUCAAAAUUUGGUAUGAAAUUUCUAUAACUAAUGGUAAUAGAGGGCUAUAAAAGGAUGAAAUUGAGACCUGUUUAAAAAUUGAAGCUCAAAUUUGAAAGCUAUAGAUAUUUCUGUUUUAAGGACUAAAUUGAAAAAAUGUAAAACUUAGGGGACAUUUGAAAAAUGAAAUUGAUUUAAUAUAUGAUUACAAUGGGAUAUUUUAAUAUGUUUGGAAUUGAUAAAUUGAAAUAAAUUAUUAUAUAGAUUGAGAUUUGAGCUAAUAAGAGGAUAAUUGAGUAAAAGUCAAUUUUUCGGAUUAGUUCUCGAUGUUUUGUGUGUCGUUGUUUUGUCAAGUAAGUUCAUAUAUAAGUUACUAUGUUAAUUUUUUGAUAUAUUUGAUUAUAUUUAUUUUUUAUUAAUUAUAUUAAUUGUAAUUUUGAUGAUGUUGGCUUAAAAUUAAUUAUAUGUUUAACAUUAGUAGAUGACAUGCCAGAAUUAUAUAAGUUUGGAAUGGAUAUGUGGCAUAAAUGAUUUGUACCUUAUUGAGUUGGUUUAUUUGGAAUGAAUACACACAUGAGCAUGUUGUAAGUUAGAAAUGGACUGUAUAUAGGAUUUUAUAAGUAUAAGAAGUUAUUUUGGAAUGAUGGUAAUGAUGGUUCAUAGGUAAUACUUGAAUUUGAAUGUUAUAUAACAUGUAUAUAUAUAAGUCUUGUUAUGUUUAAGUGUUCACUUGAAUGUUGAUUCUUUGGAUCUAGCUUAGAGCUAGUAAAUUGAAUGGUUCAUGUCUUGAAAUUUUUAAUGGUAUGUGUGUAAACGAGAAUGCCAAUAUUUUGCAUGUCUUAGUGAAUGGUUAAUGUUCAUUUGGUAAGUAUAAGAAUGAAUAUGUAACAAGAUGGUGCAUAGUUACCUUUUCAUAUAAUGAAUAGAUGUUUGUUUGAAUAUUUGUUAUAUGUGGCAUGUAAUUAAAAGAUGUUAUACUAUCUUGUUAUGUUUAGUUUGGUUGGGAACUUAGUUGACAUUGAGCCUAUAAUGUAAUUGGCAAAUGUUUAAUAUGAAAAAGUUUAUUAUCAUGAUGGGGAAUUGUUCGAUAAUACAUGUAUUGUUUGUAUGGAAAAUUAGUGAUCUUAGGACAUGACUUAAAUGUUGUGUUAACUUGGUAUAACUUUUGUCUACAUGCUUUUAUAUGGUAUGAAAUGUUAUAAUAGUGAUUGAAAUUAUUAUCUAUUGUGUGCUUGAGCUUGUAGAAAUACAAGUGAUUGAUUAUGAGCAUGUAUAUAGGUUGAUUAUAUUUACUAUAAAUUUGGCAUGAUAGUAGAUGAUUUUAAAAUUUUUUAUUAUUAUACUACUAAGUUCUAUAUAUUACACUGUAAAUAGGCACUGAGCAAUUAAAUGUACCAAAUGAUAUAGAGAAUUCAGGAAAACGACCAUGCUAGUAUGUAUGAUAGAUUAUUGAAUUUGUGAUUGUUUGGUUGAUUAAAUUUGUGAACAUUGAGAUACCUUGGGAUAACUUAAGACAUUGUUUAGUAUAAACAUAGAGACAAAAAUCUAACCCUAUUUAUUCAUCUUUAGUUCCUAUAUUUGAGCCAGAAAAUACUUCUUGAUGAACCUCCAUACAAAACCCGAGCUAAAAAUGUUAAUUUGUAUUUUCCCUCUUUCUUUGGUCCUGAACUACAUGAUUAUAGACGUUUUUCCACACGUAUUAAGGGUUAAGUAGAUACAUCACGACAGAUUUUGUAACAACAAAGUGAAAUGGGAAAGAUCAGUGUGAUAUAGUAAUUAUAGGUUAACUUAUAAAUGCAAAAAAAAAAUUCAAAAAGAAAAUCAAAACGAGUAGAAAAAAUACUUGAAAAGAAAAAGCAUUCGUGAGUGAGAUGUAUUGAAAAAGAAAAAUAUGGUAAAUUCACAAAAAUAGAAAAACUAGUUCAUUAGGGCAUAGAAACUCGUGAGUUAGCGAUAGUUGUUGUAUUAUGCUAUGAUUUCCUAUGUGGAGAAAUAAGGCGGUGAGUGGGUAAGGGUCACUAAGGAAGGAGAAUAGGGAAUGAUACGAUAUGCCACACUAUUUUCAUGCUUGAAACUAUUUUGAUGUUUAUCAUUCUUGAAUUCCACACUUGUCCUAAGCCUUGAAUGGUACAAGCCGGAAAGCCCUAUGUGACCUAGGUAGACUUAUUCAUGAAUUGAAAUCAUAUUAAAUAAUUGCAUUUAUGACUAGUUGUAUUCUGUUAGGAUAAUCAAAUUAUAUAAUAAUCAAAUUAUAUGUAUAAUUUAUUGAUGGAUCCAUACAUUUGAAAACCUUAAUGUUUGUAUGCCUUACAAUAUACUGAACUUAGGUGUUUAAUAUCAAAAGUGGUAAGUCAUCUACAUGUCAAGAUUACGUGUAAAUAUGAAAUGCCUAGUUAUGUACUCCAAAGCCAACAUAUGUACUAUACCUGCUUAAGGGUCGUUUUUUAAUUUAUUGCUUUUCUUUGCCUUUCUUGAGGAAAAGUAAUAACUUAAGUGUAAGGGAGUUUGAUCUACUAUAAUUUGAUAUAGCGGAUUAAACUAGUUUUCGCAUUUAAAGAGCUUGAAUACGAGCAUUUUCAUUAUGUUUUAAUUAAGUUUUCAUAGUUUAGUUUAAAUGCAAUAAAAAGUGUAUUACGAGUCUUUUAUUGACCUUAUAGGCUAAAUGAGACCUAAAGGUGAGCUAAUAUACUUAAUGAGUAUGCAGAAGACCAUUAGAGGGCUUAUAAACUUAAACACUGGUCGUUGUGUUGCAACACGUGAAGUUUGAUGUUGCAACAUAGAGAGCAGAAUACAAAAAUAUCAAGAUUGUCUUCGGUGGUGUGACACAGCCAUGAGAUUUCGUAACAUACCCCUGAAGCAACCCUGAACCUAAGCAUACUACCUUCGAUGUCGCAACACAAGCACUAGGGUGUCACGACAUCGGUCCUGUACGAUAGAUAAUUAUGAGCCAAGUGUGUUUUGGUCUACACAAUUAAAUAUUUAACAUGAGAUCGUCAACUAACUUAGGGUUGAGGACGAAGACAACCUUAACUUUAUAAAUAGACUCAUUUAGCACUUGUUAUAGACAACUUUUGAUACUUUAAGUUUUUUUUGUAAUUUCAGUUUUUAAUUUUCCUUUCCUUUAGGCUUUAGGCUUAUUUUUAAUUAUUUUCCUUUUGUGUUCUUUGGAUAACGAGGUUUGUAAAAUGCGAUCAAACGCUAGUGGAUUGUUUGUGCUUCAUCUCACACAAACAUGAUUCUCUAAACUCUAUUCUUGAUUUGUGAUUUAUGUUUAUCUUUAUAUUCAAGUUUAUUGUAUUCAUGAGAUUCAUGAUGAACUAAUCCUCUUAUUGGGGAUUAGCGAUUGGAGGUGUGAGUAAUUGAUUCUUAUGUAGAGUUUUCUUAGUGGAUAAACUGUUUGGGAAAGAAAGAAUUUAAACCCUAAGCUUGAUGACCUUAAGAAGUCAAUUAGGUGGGAAUUAACCCAAAAUUGGUAUGGCCUAUCCAUGAACACCUUAGCCCUAAAUAGGUCUAGACAAUGAGAUCGAGAGAUAAGUAGUUCUUGCCUACUCAUUAGUUUAGUGGAAGAUCAAGAGAUCCUGCUAGGGUGAUGACUAGUUGAUUGAGUAGAAACUCGAAAUAGAAAUUAGUUAUGACCGCCAAAGUAAGUUAAUCACCCAUACCUAGAAUUGAUUAAAGUCUAUAAAUUAGGUUUUUCGAAGUUCUUUAUAUUUAGGUUUUUGUUAUUUUUAUUUCAUUAUUUAUAACCUAAAAAUAUUUUCUUUUAUGUUUUAUCGUACUAUAAUUUAUUUAAAUUACUAAUUAGAUCAAUUUGGAUUUAGGUUAGAAAUAAUUUAGUACUCGCCUCCAUUGGGUACGGUCAUUAGAGUACUCACCUACUUUGUUCUCGCUAUAUUACAAUUUGACCUGUAUACUUACGGACACCACUUAUUUUAUAUCUUUUGUGCAGUAUUCUUACUCUAAACGUUACUACUUCCGAAGGCAUUCAAUUUCCAUAUGUUGUUCUCUACAUCUUUAGAUAUUGUAUGAGCCAGCCUUUCCAUGCAAGACACAAAAAAGGUAGGGAGAAAGAUGAUCACUAUAACUCCCUCAACCAAAUUUAGAUCUCGAGUGUUACAUUUCUAAUACAGACUUAACAAAACAUACAAUUUUUUGAAUAUUUACAUCUUAUUUAAGAGUACUGCUCUAAUUAACUUACAACUAGAAGUACUGUAGAUAAUUUCAACCAUUGUACAAGACUUCAAAUAUAGAGAACUUACAAGUGAAUAUCAUAAAUUAAAUACAUUAUUCUAUUUGUUUUAUGCAUAAUAGACCGUAGUGAUAAUAUUGAUUAUAAUAGUGCAACUAACACGUUCCGUAUGCAUAAUAGCCCGUUCUAUCACCUCUGGCAUAGCCUUGGCGUCAUCCCUCCCAUCGUAGACCCAAAUCAACUUACUUGUAACAUGAUACACAUAAGUAAGUUCAUGAGAACUUAGUGAGUAAAACUCAAUUUACCUAUAUCGCGCCUAUACAACGCAUUUGGUAACUUCGUUGAUCCUCUGAUUGUUCUUCAUUCUUCAGCUUGUUUAUGGCGAGUACAAGGCUCUUUCAUCUUUAUGGUCCAAGAACUGACUGAACCGUGCUCUAAUACCAAAAUUGUAAUGCCAUCAACCUGAUUCGAUUUGUCGAACCUGGAUCUCGAGUGUUACACCCCUAAUACAAACUUACUAAAAAAAACAUACAAAUUUUUGUAUAUUUACAUCUUAUUUAAGAGUACUGUUCCAAUUAACUUACAACUAGAUGUGUUGUAGAUAAUUACAACCCAUACCUUGAAUUCGCCACAUAUUCUAGCUCAUUCCAACUUAUCUGUUCAUAUCCUAAGACCAUGCAGACUAUGCCAAGACAUUUCAGACGUAACCAUUUCUUCAGAGUUCGCCAUAUACAUCAUUCUUUUAGGGUUUUUCCAUACUUACCAUUCUUUAGAAUUAACCAUUCAUAUCAUUCUUUUAGAGUUCACCAUACUUACUAUUUCUCUCUUUCAGAGUCUGCCACAAGGGCAUUCCCUUCAAAUGAUAGCCACAAGGGCCUUCUUUUAGAAAACACCACGAAGGCUUUCCUUUCUAUAGAUCGCCACAAAGGCUUUUAUUUUCAUAGAUUUCCAUAAAAGCGUCUAUUUUUAUAGAUUUCCAUAAAGGCGUCCAUUUUCAUAUAUUACCACAAAGGCAUCCAUUUCUAUACGUUUUCAUCGUAGGGAUUUGCCUAAAUCACAUUACGUAAGGUUUGCCCCACAUUGUCUUAGGUUGCGCAGAAAACUCCAUUAGGUAAUAACAUUCCUUUAGAUAUUUCCAUAUGGUGCCAUAACCCACCAGCUAUGGUCUUACACGAUAUGGUGCCAUGGACUUUUCUUUCAGAGAAUCGUGUUUAAAGUCCCGACGGACCCCUUUAGAUGAGUCCAUCGCGAUGAACAGACUUAGGCUCACUUGAUAAACCUUCAUGCAUUGACCUCAUUUAAGACUUAACAUAUUUCAUUUUGAUUUAUCUCAUACAUUCCAGAAUCAUUCAUACAACCUCGUUUCACUAUCAGAACAUCCAUCACAUACUCAACUUAUCAGGUACUAUACAAACUACACAUGAAAGACUUAUUUAUUGGUCAUACUACAACAUUAUCUCUCUAUCAUACUUACCUAACUUCAGAAUUGUAGUGUGACUACUUUCUACAUAAGCAUCUUGAAUAAUAUUAUGCAUGCAUGAGUCGGCUUAAGGACUCACCUGACAACCACAAAUAGUCGUUUGAACUCUAGAUCCAUCAUUAAAGCAGGGAUUUCAACAAUCUCUGUCUUAUAAACAAAAAACCACAUAUAAAACCCAUUCAAAAUAGCCUUUACUAUUAUCUUAUAUUCAGACAACCCUCAUACGAGGCCUUACUUUUUCAUACGCUCAAACAUUUCUACUUGCAAUGCCUUAAGGCUUACCUUGACACGGAGAAAUCACUGAUAAAAUUCAGGGUUUCCCGAUCCAUCAUAAGAGAAAUCUUCUAUUUUUCUCCGGGCUUAAUUCUCAAUGUUUUGAAAUGAAAAUAAGAGAACUCUCCAUCUUUCUACUUGAAAACCUAUUGAAAUAGUCAAAGUCUUUAUUGGAACUUGAAAAAUUUCACAUCACUACUGACUUGUCUUACGAAGGGUCUAUAGCUUUCGAGGAAACUAAUUGAGUACUUUCCCUUUCUCUUUUAACUAUCUCGAUUUACGUUCAAUUAGUUCUUAACCAUCUUAAAUUAUAACUUAACAUGUAUAAUAUCACGGGGAAAAGGAUGCACUACUUCUAACGUGGGCUCGUACCUUCAGUAUCUAUUUACCUGACUACAUCCUUCUUCUAACAAAUUACAACAAUCUGCGAUGAACUGUCAACAUCUUCAUCACACAACUGUGUCUGCCCCCAUAUAUGCUAUAAAGAGAACUUGGGUAAUUACCAAUUUGCUAAUCGUACCUAUCAAAGACUACGCCAGAACUUGUGCUUGUCAGAACAGGGGCGUUAUAGGCUUGUUCAAAUAAUUCUUAUACUUAGUCAAAUUUUAUACUUAACACACUCAAAACUUAAUUUAUGUGCCUUACUUCUAUAAACAUCAUUUGAACAUUAGGGUUUCGUCAAGCGGGAUGUUACAAUUCUCCCCCACUUAAGAAAUUUCUUUCUCAAAAUUCCGAAAAUGACUUGGGUUGUUUUUGCCAAACUCAAAUUAGUGAUUGCACAAAUUCCCUUGCACACACUUCAACAUUUUCUUUCUUAUUGGAAUGCUCCCCAAAAUUCUUAAAAAGAUAUCCUUAGACUGCUUUCUUGAAUAAAAUCAAAUUUUUGAUGGUUAACACUCAAGUAUGGACACCUCACGCUUACCCCUUUUUAAAAAAUAUCAAACUUGCAUUGGAGAAUUCAAAUAGUUUUUCCUAAGGUGCCUUCUUGAGCACAUUUAUCCCUACAAAACAGAGAAUUUAACCCUUCCUCUAAAACCUUCGUCAAGCCUUCAAAUUUCUUAACAGCUUCCCUAACUUCCUUUUCUGCCUUCGUCUUCUUCGAUUUGAAGAAUUCUUAAAGGUAAUCCUAUUUCCCCUUAUUUCCCAUUGUUUCCCAUUAUUUUCUUACUUUCAUACAAGAUGUCAAGAAUGAACACUCAUGGUCAAGGUCAUGACCAACGUGGCUGAGUUUCAAUCCCUAAUUGUCCCACCAUUUUUUGUCCUCACGAACUCAAAAAUACCCUUCCAACCAUUUCCACUCCUAAAUACGAAUGUAGUAAUACCUAAGAAGAAGUGAAUUGAUUCUUGAUAGCCUGAGGCUUCUGUUUUCCAAACUUCACUUACGACCUUGAUAUACCUUCAAGGUGUUAUUUAAGUGCCAACACCUUGGGUUUCAUCCUUCCGCUCAUUAUGCUAGAGGCUGGUUUCUAUUUACCUUUGCACCUAUUCUUCUAUUCAAUGUUGAUUGAAUACGACAUUGCACCAAGGCAGUUAUUAGCCUUGUCCUAGUAGACCGUUAUUGCCUAUUGCUUAGAUUGCUGCUAACGAAAUGAACCUACACUCCUAGGAGUCUUCCAAAAAUUUUACCAACUAAAAAUAACCAAAAAAUGGGCAAAUGCUGGAUACGCCCACUUCAAUGUUUUCAAAUCUUCAUUGGAGAAAGGAAAAGUUCAUAAAGGUAGUUUGUAAGCUCGAAGAUAGGUUUGGCUUUUCCACUUGCUGGUCCCUUCCUCAAGAGCUCACUUAUUCUCAGAGUUUGCUUAUUUAGUCUAAGGUGGAAAAUAAGUAAUUUAAGUGUUUAAGUAUAGGGCAUGUUCUAGAGUUAGUGAAAUUAGUUACAAUUAGGAAUGUCUUUCAGUACUGCUUGUUGAAUCAGAGUCCUAAUGGUCAUAGAAACAGUGCCUGUAUCAAUUAGUUGGAAGAUUUUAUUGUGCUUUCAGUGCCCAAGGCUUGUCUACACAACGACAAUAUUAUCUUAGCCCAGAUCUUAACUGGGCAUGCAAGAGAGCCCCUAUUUUACUUUUACGAGUUUUGUGGGAUACGUUCCUGAAACUAGCUUAUCACUCAUCGUGCUCAUCCUUCUUCUUUUUCUUCAAGUGAAGCUAAUUCUCACAUUGAUAGUGCAUGGUAUAUUUCCAAGUCUCAUAUUCCUCCCAACCUAAAGCUAGGCAUGGACAUCAAAGCCAUUUUAGGUACCACUUGUGAUAUGGAGGGAGCUUUAAUUGCUCCUACUAGGCAGCCUAUUUCCAAGAAGUAUCAGAAGAGACUAAAGGCAAGUGAAAAUGUUUUGGUUACUAAGGAGAGUGACCAAUUACAACCCAAAUGGCGUAGACUUGGGAAAGGACUUCCAAGUCCAAAGGUUCAUUUCUUGCCAAUUUCGCCAACAGUUCCAAUGGAACCCACCUGUGCAGCAGACUCUUCUGCUCAGGUUACAGGUUCGCCUUACACAGAAAUCCGAACAGAAACCUCACCAGAUGAUCUAUCUAAGAAUCCCUCUAUUCCUCAACCACAGUUCUCUUCUUCUAUUGAAAAUAAUGAAUUUUUUCCUUGGCGCAACCUUUAUACUUCAGGACCCUCAUUUGUUUCUUUAAGUUCGAUCUUUAAAAACUAAUACAACUUGAUUCCUCAAAAAUACAGAGAGGCAUUCCAUUCUUUUAUUGUGUCCAAGCCGGGUUUAACUUCUUUUUCUUAGAUGGCCAAAUCUGCCAAAGCUUUAUCUGUUAAGAACAGGUUGUUGAGUGGAUUUCUUUAAAAGUUUCACAGUUUUCAUAAGGCCACAAUUUCCAGUUACAAUGAGUUCCUUAAGUUGAAUUCCAAGAUGAUAGAGGAGCAAUGCAGUAGGGAGCAGGCUCUUAAAAGUAAGUUUGAACAACUCAACCCAAGUAUGGUAGCGUGAAAGUUCAAAAACAAAGAGAUAGAGAAAAGUGUAGAUUGUUGGAGAACACAGUUGAAUCGUUAGAGAAGAAUGAUUCCUCCUUAAAGGAACAACUCUAAUACCAGAAGUUACUUUAUAAGGCUAAGUAGGAUAGUGUUCGCUAAUCCAACGAUAAAGCCUUCAAGAAAUAUCAGGAGUACACAAUAAGAAACUUUAUUGAGGCAUUGUCAAAGUGGAAGGCUAACCUGAUUCUCCAUGCCCAAGUGGUCGUUGGUCCUAUGGACUUCUGUCAAGUAGACUUCAACUUUCUUCUAUACGCUGCUACAUAUUCAUUAGGCUUCAAUAUUUACAACCCCAAGGGUUUCAAAAUGGAAACAAAUUACUGGUUUCUUUAUUCUUAACUCACCCAAAAUAAAGGGUGGCGAGAAUCUUGAGAAGCUUCAACAUUCAGAGUAAAUCUUGGGGGAAAUAGAGUCAACAGAAGAAGUCCACGCCAAGUCCACUAGGCAUCACUCAGGGGAAGAGGACUAAUUUCUUUCUUCUUAUUCUUUCUUAUCUUUUAUGGCCUUCUUUUUGUAUAACAUCCAUUUUAUCAAUGAAGUGAUCAUUUGCCUCUCUUUUUAAUAUAUUCAUUCAUCUUUCCUUUUCAACUAUUUAAUUUAUUAUUUCUCUACAUCCUUUACUUUACACAUAAAUAAAGUUGUUUGCACAUACCUAAGAGACUUAGCCAAGCUCGACGUAUUAUACAUAUAGGGCCCUUAACUAUUUAUGGUCUAUAAUGCCAAACUUGUAAUGUGUAACACUCCUAACCUGUUUUUAUCACCGAAUUAGGGUUAAAGAGUAUUAUUGUACAAAAUAGAACAUUCAACAUCAAAGAAAAAAUAAUUAUGCAAUUCAAAUGUUAUCAUUUCAUAACUCAAUUUAAUUAAAGUAAAAAUACACUUACCAGAUCUAGCAUGCGGGGCAAAAGAUAUAGUUUGGAAACAUUUCUGGAUCAAUUUGAAAUAAAAUAGAAAAUUUUGGAAAAGCUUGAAAAUUUUGAAAUAGGGGUCACACGGUCGUGUGACUAGGCUAUGUGGCAUAGCCCAAACUGUGUGGACAUUCAAAAUCUAGACACACGGUCGUAUCCCAGCCCGUGUAUCCACCCGAGUGGGUAAUCAAAAUAGGGCCACAUGAUUGUGUCGUGGGCCGUGUGCCAAACUGUGUAUGCAUCCGAUGUUGGGUCACACGGCCGUGUCGUAGGUCGUGUGUCAGAUCAUGUAAAACAUGCACCUAAAAUAAUAAUGACACACGACAGUGUAGGGUAUCCUUGUGUGGCAAACGAUCGUGUGACAACCCGUGUUCCAAGCCGUGUGUUUCAUAUAUUACCCCUAAAAUAAGCCAUUUCAAAUCUAAUUCUUGCACACCAAGACACAACAUUUCCACAAACACUCACAUGACCAAAACACAUUUAAAAUGUAUUUAAAACAUACCAAUUCCAUCAACCUAUAAAACUAACCAAUGUACCAACAAAAGGCACCAAAAUUAUAAACCAAACAUAAUCUCAUUCAAUAUUACAAGUUCAUUCAAUAAACUUAGAUCAAACAUACCAAUAACCAUUCCAAAAGCAUCCAUUCAACCAUGACUUACCUAAUAUAAGAUAGAACAUGCAUAAAAGCAGCUUCACCUAUUUACAACAUCAUUUGCAAACAACAUCAAUUAGGCAUCCAACCACAUUAAACUCAUCACAACUUAAAACAACUGAGAAACCAAGAUUACAUUUAAGCCCUAAACAUGCCAUUUAUAACCAUAAGCCAAAUUAACCAAAAACUACCAAAAUGAUGGAAAGAUAGUGUGAUCGUGCUCCAACGCGAUUGUAACGCCCCAAAAUUUUAAAUGUUAUUUGUGAGAUUCUACAGUAAUUAAGUCUUUGUAUCUGUGGUUAUAUGCUCUGCUUAGGUGGUCGAGGUCAGGAGUUCGAGUCGCGUUUUUAAAAGUUUUUCUAGUUUAAUUUUAAUCAAUCUCUUCUCUUGGGUUGCUGACUUAAAGUUAAUUCUGUGUAAAUCUAUGUCAAGAAUGAGCCUACUGGUUUACUGGUUAAGCAUCUGUCUAUUCCCUGGUCCUAUGUUCGAGUCUCGGUAUAUGCAUUAGGUAAUGUAUUUGCUUAAAGCCAAAAUUUUGAUCGGUGGUUAAUUAAUUAAGCGUUCUCUCUUCCUCCCAUCUUUAUUUUUUUGUUCAUUUUUUCCUUCCUUUUCAUUUUUUUCUUUUUACUCUUUUCCUUUUUUAUGGUCCAAUUGUUACUUGGUUCGCAUGGUUUGUCUGCUAUGUUGUCGGGUAAGUGCACAUGUCUUUACUGCCAAUUAUAUAGAUUGUGUAAUCGCAUUAAUCAUAGAACUUCCAUUAGACGGUAGUUCAUUAGUUCUGUCAAGGUUGUUUCCAACUUGAUUAGUUUAAACUCUCUUUUAAGCGAUUAUUCGAUUUCUUUUUAGGUGAGAAUACAGAAACCAACAAUCCUCAGCGCGAGUAAUUGCUGUUAAUUUUGUUAGUAAGUCUGGAAUUGUUGAAGGUUUUUCAUCAAAACUUUUGAUAUAGUUUUCUGCGUGUAAUUAGAAGUUGUUGCCAAUUAAAUGGCUUAAUUGUGUAAUUGGAUGGUUGUGUUAGGCUUUAGGAGUCUUCUACGUUGCUUCUACAUUAAAAAUACUUUAGGUGUGUACCAAAAACUUAAGUUUUUACGAAUUUUGGACGUUAAGAAAUAUAGUUAUCGAUGCUACACAGCCGUGUGAUAGGCCGUGUAACUCAUUAUUUACCAAAAAUGAGCCACACGAGUACGGGACACAGGCGUGUGUCCAAGCCGUGUGUGGUCAAGUUAGUGCAGGGUUCACACAGGCCAAGGACACGGGCAUGUGUUUAGGCUGUGUAACUUACUGAGUACAAGAUAGGGAUCACACAAGUUAGGGACAUGGGCAUAUGUCCAAGCCGUGUGACUCACUGUUUGCAAUUUUAGACCAUACGGGCCGGCGACACAGGCAUGUGUUAGGCUGUAUGGGGCAUACGGGUAGGCACACGAGCAUUUGAUAGGCUGUGUAGGGUUAUACGAGCAUACAGGUCAGAUUCAAAAGUUAUCUCUGAGGUCGUAAGCAUUGUCUAAUGCGAAAGUCAGCUUUUUGUAGUGCAUUGAUGACCCAUAUUAAAUUGUAUGUGUUGCUAUCUGAUAAAUCUAAAACUGGACUAUGAGUAUAUAAAUGGAUACUAAAUAUGAUGACUGUUGGUGAUAUUGAUCUGUACCACCUUAAUAUGAAUUGGAUCUUAAUAACCGUAUGUACAAUCUGACAUCUGUAAUGUACAUUUGCAAUGGGUGGGAAUUGUGAAAAUGAGGAAGUAAUAUAUUCUGAUUCAGUGGCUUGGCCAAUAUCUAUAUGUUAAUCUGGCACUUUAGUGCAACUUAUUCUGGUAGCUAGUCUGCAACUGCUUGAAUGUGUCGGACCGACACUAUAUGGUGUCUAGGGCUGUAGGGGUUUAAAACUCCCUUAUCGAUGUGUUGAGGUGGUCAGAGAUGGUGUGUAUCGAUCUGUUUCUGAUCUGCUCUGUAUUUAAAUUAGAUUUGUACUACCAUUCAAUUGAUGUGUAACAUUGUACUGGAAAGUCUCUAAUUCUAAAUAGAACUUUGACUUAGGAAUAUAUUGUUAUACUAUGGUUCUAGUUAAAUCUAUAAUGUUUAUACACUGAAUUCUCUACUCAUUUUGUUGUUGACUAAAUUUUAGGUAACUCACAAUCCUGAUCGGAUCGACGUAGUGGGAGCUUGAUCAACUUGCUUAAUCACCCCUCUUAUCUAUAUUAUUAGUAGUUGCAUUAGUCUCUUUUGUUAUAAGUUUACAAGAUUGUUGGGUUUCGACUAAAGUUUAUGAUUGUUCACUUUGUCAGAAAGUUUUAAUUAUGUUAUAUAAGUCGAUUUUUCAAGCAACAUAGAUGUAACUCUUUGGACUUGGCCUUGACGCCCAGGACAAGUAUAAGGUGUUACAUUUAGUGGUAUCAGAGUCAGGUUAAUCAACACUCGGAUUAUUUUUUGGGCUUAUAAUGUGUGCCAAAAGAUAGAUAAAUGAAAAUAGAAAAUCUGAGUCAUUCUAAAAACUAAUUUUUAUAAAUAAUCGAUCCUCUAAACCCGAACCUAUAAGUAUUUUUUUGUUGUUAUGGUGAUUAAUGGAAACACUGUAGUGAUUAAACUGUUAUUUGUUUAAAUACACUGAUAGAACUGGAAGAAGUACUAUGUUGAAAUCCUGAACUGAUAUAUGUACUCUGACAUUCUAGAUAGAUUACCAUUAUGAAUUCGCUCAGUAGUCAUGAAUGUGGAUUUCGUGGGCGUUGUGGACAUAGAGGAGGAGCUCGAGCGGAGUCAUCCUCUGUGGGCAGGAUGCCCAAUCUGGAGACCAGCGAGACAGUUUGUACUCCUACUGCUGAGACGAUGUCUCAUACUUCAACGGCUGUGGAUGAUGCACUCUCCCAGGCUAUAAUUCAAGCAUUGGAAAGGAUCAUCUAGACCCAUUCUUGAUCUAGAGGCCGUGGGCCAAUUACUGAACGACUUCGGUCAAAUGGUGCUGAGUUGUUUCAGGGCAUCAUUGGAGUGUUGUACUCCCACUCAAAAAUUGAGGCAUGCCGUGUCCCUACUCUGGAUAAAGCCUAUCAGUGGUGACUAACGGUUGAGCAAGGUGCUCAGCCUGAGUAGGUUAAUUGGGACUAUUUUAAAAGUGCCUUCUAAAGUAACUAUAUGGGGGUGAGUUAUGUGGAGGCUCGUUGAAACUAGUUUAUGAACCUGGUUCAAGGUGAUCAAUCUGUGGCCGAGUAUAAGGUCGAGUUUCUGAGACUGAUUAGGUACGCGCGGGCUCUGGUAACAUUUUACUAUGAUAAUGCGUGAGGUUUGAGGAAGGGUUUCGUUAUGAUCUGUAGGUUCCAAUAGCUCCUCAGAGGGAGCGGGUUUUUGCGGCCUUGAUUGAUAAGGCUAAGAUAGUGGAAGAGGUGAAACGUAAUGAGUACGAGUGGCAUGACCACGACAGAGAUUAGAGUAAGACUAAAAGGAAUUCGAAUCCCUCUAGUUCUAGGUAGCGCCUUAAGAAACGGGCGAGGUUCGAAAGGCCUCCGAGAUCUGACGCACUAGCUUCAGUUAUCGACGUUCAACUCUGUAGCGACUGUAGGAAGCGUUAUCUGCACGAGUGCUAGAGAAAGUUAGGAGCAUGCCUCUAUUGUGGGUCGAUGGAACAUCGAGUUAGGGAUUGUCCUUGUCAACCAAAUCAAGUGACAAUUGUGGCAUCGACUUCUAUUCCAGGUCAUGUUCAACCUCUAAGAGUAGGUCAGCAACCAGUACAUUCUUUAUUUAUUUUGUUCCAUACUUCGGACUCAUUGACAUUCUGUCUACUCACUCAUAUAUAGCUAGUACUAUUUCUACAAAUCUAGGUAUAACUGUUGAGAAUACUGUUAGAGAGUUUUCUGUGAUUAGUCCUUUGGGUCAAUUGUUUCGUACAUAUAAGGUAUAUAGACGAGUACCCUUGAAGAUUCAGGGUAUAGUAUUUUCGGUGGACUUGAUGGAGUUACUUUUUGAUGAAUUUUAUUAGAUUUUAAGAAUGGAUUGGUUCGUAGAGUAUCGGGUCAAUCUAGAUUGUGCAUCUAAAAGAAUUACUCGAGGAUGGAUGAAAAUAAUGAGGUUGUUAUUGUUGGUGAGCAUCGAGAUUACCUUUCCAAUGUAAUCACCACCUUGCUAGCGGAUAAGCUAGUCUAGAAAGGGUGCGAGGCAUACAUUGCCUACAUAUCCGAUACAUUUCCUACAAACCUUUCUGUAGGGAUAUUCGUACUGUAAGGGAUUUCUCGGAUGUUUUUCUUAAUGAAUUGCCUAAAAUACCUCCAAAUAAAAAGGUUGAAUUUAGCAUUGAUUUGUUACCGGGUACUGCUAAUGUUUCUAUUACACCCUACCGCAUGGCACCGAAGGAACUUGCAGAGCUAAAAGCUUAGCUCCAGGAACUUCUCGAUAAUAGGUUUAUCCGACCGAGUAUGUCUCCGUGGGGAGCACCAGUGCUGUUUGUUAAAAAGAAGGAUGGGUGGAUGAAAAUGUAUAUAAAUUACCGACAGCUAAGCAAGUUGACAAUAAAGAAUAAGUAUCUGCUACCGAGGAUCGGUGACUUAUUCGACCAGUUCUAUGGGGCAUCUAUUUUUUCUAAGAUCGAUCUCUAUUCUGGUUACCAUCAGCUCAAGGUUAAAGAGAUUGAUGUGUACUAGACCACCUUCAGGACUCGUUAUGGACACUUCGAGUUCCUGGUGAUGCCUUUUGGGUUGACGAAUGCCCUGGCAGCAUUCAUGGAUUUAAUGAAUCGAGUGUUCCAAAUGUAUUUGGAUCAGUUUGUGGUAGUCUUUAUUGACGACAUACUGAUUUAUCCCAAGACCGAGUUAGACCAUGAUGACUACCUUCUUAUUUUCUCCAGACACUCCGAGAAAAGCAAUUGUAUGCUAAGUUUAGCAAGUGCGAGUUUUGGUUGCAGGAGGAUUUUUUUCUUGGACAUGUGGUGACUGCUGAAGUGAUCUAGGUCAAUCUCAAGAAAAUAGAAGCUAUAGUUGAGCGGAAACAACCGAGAAAUGUGUUUGAGCUUCGGAGUUUCCUAGGCUUAAUAGGUUACUACUGAAGGUUUGUCGAGGGAUUCUCUCUCAUUGUGUCACCUUUGACGAAGCUACUGAGUAAGAACACUCUAAUUGUGUGGUUUGAAGAAUAGCGGUCUAGUUUCGAAAAGCUCAUGUUUGUUCUGAUGCAAGCUUUUGUUCUAGGUCAACCUAAAUCGGGUUAGGAGUUUAUGGUUUCCAGUAAUACAUUGCACGUUGGUCUAAAAGGUGUUUUGAUACAAGAUGGUAAAGUGGUAGCUUAUGCGUCGUGACAACUUAAGAUGCACGAGGGUAACUACCUACGAUUUUAAGCUGGAUGCAGUUGUGUUUGCUCUAGAUAUUUGGAGGAAUUACCUUUAUGAUGAGAGGUAUAUCAUUUACACUGAUCACAAUAGUCUUAAGUAUUUGUUAACUAAAAAGGAGUUAAAUCUCAAGCAGCGCAGGUAGGUUGAGUUGCUUAAGAUUAUGACUGUACGAUAGAAUAUCAUCUUAGUACAGCUAAUAUGGUAGCCGAUGCUCUUAGCCGUAGAGUGAUGACUAACCGAAAAAUGAUGUUUGCUUGUCUAAGUUUAGUUGAGGAUGGAGGAUCGUUAGCUCAAUUGCAGGUUAAACUGAUUAGGUCGAAUAGAUUCUGGUUAAACAAUUGAGUGAUGAGUUUCUAGUUCAGCGACUGCAACAGAUUGGUUCGAGUGAAACUUCAGAUUUUAGUUUAAACAGCGAUAAAGUGUUGUGUUUUGGGGGUCAGAUUUGUGUGCCUAAUGAUAAUAAGCUGAGGCAAUCGAUUCUGCAAGAGGCGCAUAGUAGCCCUUACGCUAUGCAUCUUGGUGGAAAUAAGAUGUAUCGGGACCUCCGAGAACUUUAUUGGUGGCUUGGUCUAAGAUGGAGAAUGGUUGCCGUCGUAUCACACUGUCUGAUGUGUCACAAGGUUAAAGAAAAACAUCAUUUGCCCUCAGGAUUACUUCAGCCGGUUAUGAUUACUCUAUGAAAAUGGGAGCGUGUAACAAUGGAUUUUGUUAGUGGGUUACUUUUAACCCCCACUAAGAAAGAUUCAGUUUGGGUCAUCAUUGAUCAAUUAACCAAAUCCGCUAAUUUUAAUCCUACCAAAACAUAUUACUCAUUGUAGAAGCUCGGUAAGCUGUAUAUUGCUGAGAUCGUAAGACUACACGGGUUUCACAUCUUGAUUAUCUAUAAUAGAGAUCUGCAUUUCACAUCUUGAUUUUGGAAAAAGCUUCAUGAGACUUUAGGCACCCGACUCAAUUUCAGUACUACGUAUUAUCCUCAGACCGACAGACAAUCUGAGUGAGUUAUUCAGAUCUUCGAAAAUAUGUUUCGAGGUUGUGUAAUAAAUUUCCUGGGUAGUUAGGAAGAUUACUUACCAUUGGCUAAGUUUGCAUACAAUAACAGCUUCUAGUCUAGUAUUCAGAUGGCACCUUACGAGGUUCUAUAUGGUCGUAAGUGUCGUACUCCAUUGUGUUGGACUAAGUUAAGCGAACAUUGGGUUUUGGGUCCUAAGCUAGUUCCUGAAACUAAGAAUACUGUCAAGCUAAUACGAAACCGUCUUAAAGCCACUUCUGAUCGACAAAAAUCUUAUGCCGAUUUAAAGAGAAAAGAUAUUGAAUUUUCUAUAGGCGAUCAGGUGCUUCUGAAGGUGUCACCAUGGAAAAAGGUCCUUUGAUUUGGACAUAAAGGCAAGUUGAACCCGAGGUUUAUUGGACCAUAUCGUAUCUUGAAACAUGUCGAACCUGUUUUCUAUUAAUUAGAAUUACCACUGGAGUUGGAACAGAUUCAUGAUAUGUUCCAAGACUCAAUGUUGAGACAGUAUCGAUCUAAUCCGUCGCGCAUUGUUCCGAUUGAGGAAAUUGAGGUAUGACCAAACUUAACUUUUGAGAAUGAACCUAUUCAGAUUUUAGAUCGUGACGUUAAGGUGUUGAGGAAGAAAAUUGUUCCUUUAGUUAAGGUUUUCUAGCGGAAUCAUGGCAUAGAGGAAGCUACUUGGGAACCUAAAGAUUUGAUUUGACGACAAUACCCGUAUCUGUUUGAGUCAAGUACAUUUUGAGGCUGAAAUUUCUUUUAGGGGGAGAGAGUUGUAAUGCCCUAAAAUUUUGAAUGUUAUUUCUAAGAUUCUGUAGUAAUCAAGUCUCGUUAUCUGUGAUUAUAUGCUCUGUUUAGGUGUUCGAGGUCAGGAGUUCGAGUCACAUUUUUAGAAGUUUUUCUAGUUUAAUUUUAAUCAAUCUCUACUCUUGGGCCAUUGACUUAAAGUUAAUUCUGUGUAAAUCUGUGUCAAGAAUGAGUUGCUAGUUCACUGGUUAAGCAUCUGUCUAUUAUCUAGUCCUAUGUUCGAGUCUCAGCCGUGUGGUUGGCUGUGUAACUCACUGUUUACUAAAAAUGAGCCACACGAGCGUGUGUACAAGCCGUGUGUGGUCAGGUUAGUACAAGGUUCACACGGGCCAAGGACACUGGAAUGUGUCUAGGUCGUGUAACUCAUUGAGACCAAGAUAGUGAUCACAUGGGUUAGGGACACGGGCAUGUGUCCAGGCCGUGUGACUUACUAUUUCUUUCAGAGUCAAUACGAUCCAGAGACACAAGCAUCUGUCAAGCUGUGUGGGACACACGGGUAGGAACACGGGCAUGUACCAGGCCGUGUAAGGUUAUUCGGGCAUGUGGGUUAGAUCUGAAAGUGAUCUCCGAGGCCAUAAGCGUUAUCUAAAGCAAAUGUCAGCUUUCUGUAGUGCAUUAAUGACCUGUAUUAGACUGUAUGUGUUGCUAUUUGAUAAAUCUGAGACUGAACCGGCACCCAUUGAUUUUGCACCUUCUAACAUCUCGGGUUGAGAAUUCUCGUCACACUUUUUUUUUCAUUCACAAAUUUUUUUUUGUUAUGGAUUCCUUGUCGAUUCUUCCCCUCGUUCUUUUUUUCUUGGGCUUGGCUACAUACCAAGCGUGGAUCCAUAAAAUUCCAAAAUUUUUAGAAAGUAGCUACUGUUGGCCCCAUUUAGAAUGAGAUCACAACAGAUUUGAUAGAGCCCAUCAAUUUGCUCUUUUAAGGGCUCUUCAAAAACCAAAUGAUUUUCUAUGGGUAUGUAAAUGGAUACUGAAUAUGACGACUAUUGGUGAUGCUGAUAUGUACCAUCUGAAUAUGAAUUGGAUCUUAAUGGCUGUGUGUACAUUCUGAUAUCUGUAAUUUACAUUUGCAUUGGGUGGGAAUUGUGAAAAGGAGAAAGUAAUCCGUUCUGAUUCAGUGGCUUGGCUACAAUCUAGAUGUUAAUCUGGCACUUUAGUGCAACUUGAUCUAACAGCUGGUCUGCAACUACUUGAAUAUGUCAGACCGAAACUAUAUGGUGUGCAAGGCUGGAGGGGUUUUAAACUCCCUUAUCAGUGUGUUGGGGUGAUCGAAAAUAGUGUGUAGCGGAUGUGGGUAGGAAUCACUGUAUUUAUUUCUGAUCUAUUCUAUAUCUGAAUUAGAUUUGUACUGACAUUCAAUUGAUGUGUAACAUUAUACUGGAGAGUCUCUAAUUCUGAAUAGGCUUUGACUUGGGAAUUUAUUUUUAUACUAUGCUUCUAGUUAAUUCUAUAAUGGUUAUACACUGAGUUCUCUACUCAUUUUGUUGUUGACUGAAUUUCAGGUAACUCACAAUCCUAAUCGGGUCGGCGUAUAUGCCCCUGUAUAUGCCAAAAGGGGCACUUGGGCGAUUACUAAUUCGCCAAUUGUACUUAUCAAAGACUAUGCCAAACCUAGUGCCCACCAGAAUCGGGGCAUUACAGGCUUGUUCAAAGAAUUCUCAUACUUAGCUAAAUUUUAUACUUAACACACACUCAAAACUUACUCUAUAUGCCUUACUUCCAUAAACAUCACUUGAAAAAUAAGGAUUCACUAGGUGGGAUUUUAUAAUCACCUUAACGAAGACCUCUAUGUGGCCUAAACUCAUUUGUAAGCCCACCAUUCUGUAGAAUCUGCAUAGAACUCGAGCUCACACCGAUCAACUUUAAUCGCUAACCAACCUUUAUUUCCAGAUUUAUUACGCAUAAAGUGAAUUAUCUCUUACGCUAUAAUAAUAUUAUCCGUGAUACAUCGUCUUGGGACAAAACUCGAUUGAUUAGAGAGCAUUCAAUUAGGCAUGUAAGGUUUCAGUUGGUUCACAAUCACAUUAGAAACAAUUUUAUAUAGCACUGUACACAAACUGACUGGCUGAAUUUGAUGAAUAUAUUUUGGUUUCUCUUUUUUUGGGAUAAGUACAAGCAGAGUUUUAUUGAUCCACCCUUCGAACUUGGUACCACCCAUAAUGCUUCUAACAAAGAAAAUAUACUAAAUUAUUAGUUUUAAUUCUACUAAAAUACUACUAGAAACACAUCCUAAGUUAGUAGAGUUGGAAUGGAAAGUUUCGUAGGGGUGACGAGACAUGAUGAGCAGUUUCUAACCUGAUUUAUUCUUGCGACUAGGCAUUCAUUCCUUAAUUUAGUUUUUUCCUCGUUGGUUGUAAAGUUUCCAAAUUCUUCAUAUGUUUCCCAAUCUUAUUCCAUAGGUUUUCUUCCUUGAUGUUGAGUCCAUAGAACCUUACAUUGCAAAGCUUGUGUUUUGACAACUCCUUUAGUCAUUCCUCCGAAAUAAUGUUUUACUCUUUCACCAUUGAUGAGAAAAGAUUGUCCCUCAUUUUCAAUGAGUUUUAUUGCAACUUGAGGUGUUACUUGAUUUAUAAUGUAUGGUCUUGUCCAUCUUGAUUUAAUUUUUCCAGAAAAUAAUGUUAAUCUUAAAUUGAACAAGAGUACUUUCUAUCCCAGUAAGAACUCUCAUUUUUUUAUUCUAGCAUUAGGCUAAACUUUACUCCUUUCUUUAUAUAGCUUUGCAAUUUCAUAGGCCAUAAAUCAAAAUUCUUUUAAUUCUUACAACUGGAAUAAUCUCUCUUUCUUAACCAGUUCAGGAUCUAAAUUCAAUUCAUUUAUUGCGCAAUAUGCUUUCUUUUCCACCUCAAUUAACAAAUGGCAGUUUUUCCGUACACCAACUUGUAAUGAGACAUGCCUAAAGGGUUUUUUACACUGUUCUAUAAUCCCAUAGUGCAUCAUCUAAUCUUAGCUACCAAUCUUUUCUUUUCGAAUUGAUGUUUUUUCCAAUACUUGUUAAUCUCUCGACUAGACACCUCUACUUGUCCAUUAGCCUGAAGAUGGUAUGUUGUAGUUAUUUCGUGUCUUACACUGUAAUUGGCUAAGACAAUUUUAAAUUGCUUGUUGCAGAAGUGUGAUCCUUUAUCACUUACAAGAGCACGAGGUGUUCCAGAUCUUGCAAAAAUAUUUUUUCUUAAGAAUUUGACCACUGACUUCGUAUCUUUUAUAGCUAGUGUUGUUGUCUCAACCCAUUUAAAAACGUAGUCUACAACUAACAAGAUGUACUGAUUUCUAAGGGAAAUUGGGAAAGGUCCCACAAAAUCAAUUUCCCAAAGGUCAAAUACUUCUACUUCUAGGAUUUCUGUCUGUGGCAUUUCAUCCUUUUUAGAUAUACUUCCGGUCCUUUGACAUCUAUCACACCCCUGCAUAAAUUCGCCAGCAUCUCUAUUUAUAGUUCGUCAAUAAAAUCCUGAUUGUAAUAUUUCCUAGGCUGUUCUCUUUCCUCCCAAAUUUCCACCACAUGAUGAGGUAUGGCAUUCUUGUAAGAUGUCAUUUAUCUCUUCCUCAACCACGCAUCUUCGAACUAAUUGAUUGGCGCAUUGCUAAAAAAUAUAUGAUUCUUUCCAAAUAAAUUUUUUCGACUCAUGCAUGAUUCUUUUCUUUUAUUGCCAUGAUCGUUUAUUAGAAAAAAAUCAUUUGGCAAUAUAAUUCACAUAAUCCGCGUACCAUGGUAUCUUAUUGUCCUUAUACCUUUCUUGAUGCAUUGCUACCCUGAAUAGCUACUCAUCAAUAAAGGUUUCUUUUAUUUCUUCAGAAUUUUAACUUUCGUCUCAUUUUCUAUUCUAGAAAGAUGAUCUGUAAUUAGAUUUUUCGUUUCUUUACGAUCCAGUAUGCACAGAUCAAUCUCUUGAAGCAAUAACACCCACCUCAUUAAUCUAGCCUUUAUUUCCUUUUUUUUCAUAAGAUAUUUCAAUGUAGAGUGAUCAGUGUAGACAUAAACACUAUUUGCCAUUAAAUAAGGAUGAAAUUUUUCGCAUGCAAACACAAUAGUAAGAAUUUCUUUUUCAAUAGUAGUGUAAUUACAUUAUGUUGAAUUCAAGGUCUCACUUGCAUAAUGAAUGGUGCAAAAUAUGUUGUUCCUUUUCUACUCCAGUACUACUCCUACAGCAUAAUCAUUAGCAUCGCACAUUAUAAAAAAAGGAUUCGACCAAUCAGGGGUAAUAAUAAUAGGUGCAAAAAUAAGUUUUUAUUUUAUUACCUCAAAAUCUUAGAUGCACUCUUGAUUAAAUAUGAAAGGUAUUUCCUUCUAAAGAAGUUGAUUCAACGAUUUGGAUAUGUGAUGACAGUCUUUUAUAAACUACUUAUAAAACCCAGCAUGUCCUAAGAAAUUUAGUACCCUUCGGAUCGUCGUGGGAUUAGGAAGGUUCUUUAUGACUUCAAUUUUUUCUUUGUCCACUUCCAACCGUUUUCUUGAUAUUUGAUGUCUUAAAACCAAUCCUACUUUUACCAUAAAAUAGAAUUUUUUCCUAAUUGAGCAUCAAGUUGGUUUCUUCACAUCUUUUCAAUACUUUCUCAAGGUUAUCCAAACAUUCCCGAAAGGAAUCCCAUAUACCAAAAAAUCAUCCAUGAAUACAUCGAGACCUUAUUGCAGCAUAUUGGCAAAAAUAGAAGUCAUACAUCUCAUAAAUAUUAUUAGGGCAAUACAUUCAAAUCAUAUUGAUUAUCUCAAAUAAACAUAGAGUACUUCAUAAAUGUAUAAUUAUUUCUCAAUUUUAACAAAAAAUCAUCCAAACAUAGUCAAUUCAAUUUAUGAUUAACAAAUACGUCAUUUCUCAGAUCAUAUACGGGCUUAUGUAUGCUCCAAUACCAUCCAGAAUUUAACUAGGAUUAAUUUGCAAUAUUUCCAAAAUUUUAGUUUGAUUAUAAACCAAAAUACUUCUAAGCUCAAUUUAAUCAUCAUAAAUCAAUAGUUAAUCACUAUUCAUAGAAUAUAUAUGAAAACGAAACUUAAAUCGGGUCCAUAGGACCUUAAAAAUAGUUUGGAAACAAACAAGGACUAAUCUAAAACAAAACAAAAAAAUAUGGUAAAAUUUGAAAUCAGGGGUCACACGACCGUGUGACAGAGCCCAAGCCGUGUGGGUCAGGAACAUGGUUGUGUGGCAAAACCGUGUACAAUUCAAAGUUAGGGGCACAUGGUCGUAUCUUCAGGCCAUGUAAUAGCUUGAUGUCGUGUGGGAAAACGUGCACCUAAAAAUCAAUAAGGCACACGACCAUAUGAAGAAGCCGUCUGUGGCACAUGAUUGUGUGGUAGACCGUGUCCUAGGCUGUGUGCAACCAAAAUGACUUCAAAAAUAAGUAAUUUCAAACAAAAUUUCUUAGGUAUCAAACCCAACCAUUUGCAACCAUUUCCACCUAUUCAAAAACACAUCCAUACAUAUCAAAAACAUACUAAAAACAUUCAACCUAAGUGCUUAAUCAAUGUACCAUCAUUGGUACCACAAUUCAAACAUUUAGAAUCCAAAUUAUAUACAUCAUUUCCCAAAACACAAAACAUGUAUCUAUCAAGCAUCUCAUAACCUUAAACCAUAAUAAAAACCAAACUUGGAAAUGUAUAAAUCUUACCACUUAUAUACAUAUGGUUAAAGCUUACCAAAAGAGCCAAAUAAACACAACCACAACAUCACAUAACAAAGCAUGGAACAACAUGUCUAAUAACAAGUGAAUUUGAACUCCUAGUACAUGUCACUUAUAACCUAAAUCAAAGUAAUCACAAUUUAUACCGAGUCGAUUAAGGGAUAGUGCGAGCUUCGACUUGAACUUCCAACUGAAAUAAACUUCCAAUGAUCUACAAGAAAAACAACACAAUGAAUGUAAGCAAAUCUUUGCUUAGCAAGUUUGUGUAAACUCAAACUUUAACUUUAACUUACCGUAAAAGUUGUAACUUAAACAUUUUGCAAUUAAAAUUUAUAAGCAAUGUCAUGAGUUCAUUAUUAACCUAUACAUAUCACAAGUCUCACAAGGUUAGUGAGUUCACAUAUACAAAACUUAUAACUUUAUCAUGUCAUAAAGCAUGUACUAGUAAACACAUUGGAUAUACCAUUCAUUCAACAUUUAUUCAUUUACCAAUUCACAUUUCCAUUUUAAGUGUUCAUUUCAAAUGUCCCUUCUUACAUACCUAUUCAUAUAAACAUUUCAUAUAACACUUCAUAUAAUUAUUUUCAUAUUGUCACUUCAUAUAGUUUUUUCGUUUAUAUGUUUCCGUAUAACUGAUUCAUAUAACCAUUUCGUAUAUCUAUUUCUAUAUAACCAAUUCUUAUAAUCAUUUCACAUAACCAAUUCGUAUAACCAAUUCAUAUAACCAUUUUGUAUAGCCAUUUCAAAGUGUUAACCUUAACACAACAUGAUUCAACAAUUCUAAGUCAGUAAACAACAAUAUAGGGAUAUUCAGAAUUCGUAUUUUUAUCCAUUUUAAUGAAACAAUUUAACAUUACAAGUCCGGGAAAUAGAUGAUGCUUGUAUGAGCUAAUCAGAUACAUAAAUAUAUGUGUUAGGUUACCCGUCCAGACUAAACCUUUAAAACAACCGGGCUAAACCUUUAAAACAACAAGAAUUACUAGUCCAGGCAAAAUUUAUGUCACAUGCAUAUCCGAGUCUGCAAAAAAUGUUAGAGCUUGGUCCAGAACGAGAAUCAUAUAGAAACCUUGUGUAUGAGACAUUUACUUAGUCCAUCAGAAUUAUCUUAGAAUUUGAUUUAUUAUCACGUAGUCUGAUUUCCAAUUUCAGCAGUUUAUACACAAUUAAUUAACAACAUUUAAUAUUCAAUUUUAAUUUGAAAAAUAAUAUGAACUUACCUAGACAAAAACGAUUGUGAAAACAAGGCUCACAAUUAAUCCAUUAAUUUAGCUUUUCCACGAUUCGAGUUUGAUUAUUUUGUUCCUUGAUCUAAAUAAUAUUUUUUCUUUCAAUUAAUUCAUUCAAACAAGGCUGACCCUUAAUCAUCAUUUUACACUUUUACAAUGAACUUUUACUUUUAAUUCAAUUUAGUCCCUAAACCCGAAACAUUCAAUUUAAUCAUAAAUUAAUCCAAAAAAGGCCAACCGAAUUUUGUAUAAUUCCCAUACAUCCCAUAUUCAUCAUAUUUUUACAAGAAUUUCAUAUAACUUUACUAUUUUAGCAAUUUAAUCCUUUAACAUAAAAAUUAAUCAAAAUCACUUUACAAUAUUGUUCUAUUUAAUUAUCAAGCUUAUAAAACUAUCAUAAAACUUCAAAAAAAUCACCAUUUCAUCAAUGGCAUAAUUUAAAACAUUUAAUAGUUUUACAAAUUAGCCCUUAAGUUAGCUAGAUUAAGCUAGAACAAUAUCAAAAACAUAAAAAUCACUAAAAACAUAAUUGAAAAAGCUUACCAUGCAUGAAUUAUGAACUUGGUUGAAUUUCAAGCAUUCAAAAAUGGGGUUUUAUGGCUUUAUUUCCUUCAAUUUCAGUCAAUAGAGAAAGAUGAUAGCAUUUUUACAUUUUAUUUUCUUAAACCAAAUAUUAAAUUACAAAAUUAGCCUUUUUUAACUAAAUAUUACAAUCAUGCAAUGGGCAAACUGUCUAUUAUUAAUAAUUAUGGCUAAAUUACCAUAUAAAGCCAUUCAAAUAUGUUUCUAUGCUCAAUUAACCCAUAAUAAUCAAUAGUGAUUAGCUUUUGCAACUUUCAUGAUUUAGUCCUUUUUUCUUUAAUUAACUAUCAAAUCACCAAAAUUUCCUAACCCAAUUUUAAUAUACCUAUAUUGUAACUUCGUAAAUAUUUAAUAAAAAUAUUUGCGGGCUCGGUUUAUAGAAACAAGGUCCUAGUACCUCAUUUUCCAAAACCACUUGAUUGUUGGGACAAUCACUUGUACUUAACUAUUCAUUCAAUUUGCAAAAAUUAUUAAACCAACAUUCAAUAUAGUAUCAUAAUUGAUUUGUAAAUAUUAAAUAAUAAUAUUAGGAACUCACUCAUCGGAUUUGUGAUCUUGAAACCAUUAUUUUCAAAGCCACAGAAAAACGGAUUGUUACAACCCAUCAUAGAAAUGUUGUAGUUGUAUUGCAAAGCUAACACCUCCUCCCAAUUUUGAUCGGAUAAUAAUUUUAAACCUUUCCCAUGCCUAUCCCAAUGUUUCAACAACAUCUUGCUUGAAUUUAAAUAACUUUUCAUAUGUGUUGUUUACAUGGGUCAUAGGCACAACUCAACGUAAGAAUAAUUGCAUAAAUUUAGCCCAGGUUGUAAUCAUAUCUUGAGGAAGUGCAUCUAACCAAGCUUUCGCUUGACCUUCUAAAGUAAAAGAUAUUAAUAACAAUUUGAUAACCUCUGCUAAAACACCAACAUACACAAUGGUGCUGCAAAUGUGCUCAAACUACCGGAGGAAAGCUAUGGGGUCCUCAUUUUGUUACUACCAAACCUGAUAUUUGAAGAAAUCCAUGUUAGCAACGGAUGGUUGAAUUCAAAAUAAGGACUUUGAAUAAUAGGUCGAGUAAUACUAAGGUUGUAACCAGUUCAUAUCAAAAGGAACUACCCCCUAGUGUCACGGGGCUAGACCUUUCGUCUCGCAAUCCUUACGGCCUUAGGCGAUUCGUUCGUCCAAACUCGCCCAAGUCAGCCUUAACUCAAGUGAGGAUUCUUUUAUAACUCCUCCAAGGCACCAAAUUAAAGAGCGGAAGUGAUUUUAUGCCAAAAAAAACAACAGAAAGUCACAGAAAAGAUUGCACACAAGGUGUUUGAGUAAAUGCUCUCUAUUUCUCUUAUUCACAAAGAAUAAUGAAACAAUGAAUGGAGUGAGUACAACUGAGGGGGAGGCUCUCUAUUUAUAAUUGAGCUCCCCUAAAAUCGACGGUCAAGAUACAUUUACAUCGAUGGAUGAGAUUUAACCAUAUCCCAUAAUUUUAGGAAUUUACAAGAUAAGCUUUAUCAAAUCUAAUCUAAUCUUUACAAGAUAUGACUCCCUCUAUCUUCUAAGAUUAGUUACCAUAUUAGCCUAAGUUGCCAUCUCUUCAUUAUCGGGCCAACUAGGCUUCAAUCUGACAGGCUUAUCCAAUAGCUCUUUGAAUCGGGCCAGUUCUCGUAGGCCAAAUGAUCCCCAUCUAAGCAAUAGACCUCCAUUGGAUGCAUUUGGUGCGAUGGUCACGGGCUUUGAACUACGGCCCGUGACAUUUUCCCCCACCCAUUCUCGCAACGUCCUCGUUGCGACUUUCGAAUGGCACUGACUUGAUUCUCCUCGGUCUCGUCUCGACGCCUUAGCCUUUCCCUUCCUUCGAGACUUUUGCUUCGGCUUACGUCGCUUCUUCACUCGAACCGUCCUACUCAUUUGUACAUCUCGAUGAUAAGAAGUUAUGUCACUCUCUUGUCCACAUUCUAACUUUGCUCGAACAGAAUCCUCUUGAUUCACCACACUUGGCUUGGCUUUGCCCACAGUCUCUCGGCCUCUUUGCUCAAGAACUUCGAAAGGGCCCCUACGUUCUUGCCAAGUCAACAAGUUAGAAUGCAAAACGCUAUCACAGUGUUCGAAAUGUACCUUCGCAUUUUCUCUGGUCAACUAUCCCACAUGCAUCACUUCCUUUUCCUUCAAGUCCGAUGCACCACCCACCUCUCCCAUAGGUGGAAGCUUGUCGAUGACUCGGCCAACUCCGACGCUUCACUCAACUUGAGCCUCAUUGGUCCCAGCUUCACUGUUUUCAUCGCAACUCUUUCCGCUAAGUCCGAUGACAAACUCAUCUCUUCCUUAGGUAGAAGCCCCUCCGAUGACUCACCAAGCUCAGACGUUGCCUUUCUUUUGACUCCGGCUUACUUUGGACAGUUCCGCAACUUAUGCAGACCACGGCACAAGAAGCACUUUACUCGCUUCUUUUUACUCCUCUUUGCCCUCUUGGCUUCGGCUUUUCCCUUGCUCGAACCAAGCUUCUUGGGCUCCUUGUCUACUCCAUCGUUCCCCUUGAUGACAGACUUCCUCGGAUACUUCCGCAACCUAUGCGGACCAUGACACAAGAAGCACUCCACUAGCUUCUUCUCGCUUUCGGCCUCCUUGGCUUCGACACCCCUUGCGCUCAAACCAAGUACCAAGGCCUUACCCACCGGCUUCUCCUUAAGCGCAGAUUUCUUCGGAUAUUUCUUUAACAUGUGUGGACUGUCGCAAAGAAAGCAUUUCAGCUUGUCCCUUUUCCUUUUGGGUUUUUUCUCCCCAACUCGUGGUUUCCCAUUACCACCAUUGUCGCCGUUGCCAUUUCCAUCAACAAUAUCUUCCUUGUGAUCCAUUUCACGUACACCCCUUUCCUCGGACUUGGAAGACCUAAGCUUGUCUUUCCUUAGACCAAGCUUGACCACGGACUCAGCUACCGUCAUGGCUUCCGACAACUUUUGGACACCUCUUUGUUCCACCUCCUGUCUGACCCACGGCUUCAAUCCCUUUUGAAAAGCAAGCAAUGCUUCUUCCUCGGACACAUCUGAAACUUGGAGCAUGAGUUCCUUGAACUUUUGAACAUACUCCCCCACUAUGCCCCGUUGCAUUAUCCCUUGUAACUUUGCCUGAGCUUUUUCCUCGGCAAAUUCUGGGUAAAACUGUCCCUUCAACUCACAUUGGAACUCUUGCCACGUCCCAAUCUCACAUUGCCUUUUAUCUGUGGUCCUACCUCGCCACCAUAAAAGCGCAAUGUCAAUAAGAAACAUUGAAGCAGUGUUUACCUUAACCGCAUCAUCCAUGAUGCCUUUGGCACGGAAGUAGUUUUCCAUCCUCUACAAAAAAAUUAUCCACAUCGCAUGCAGACCUUGUCCCCACAAACUCUUUCAGCUUCGGGACAUCCUCGUUACUGAGUGAUGUAUUUUCCAUUCUAUUCCCUACGGCUGCUCGACACAAGGCCAGCUCUCCCUCGAGCUCCUCUAUUCUUGUGCUCAAUGCCCUCGUCGUGGCCAUUGUUUCCUCCUUCAAAGCCAUCAUCAUGGCCUCGAGAGCAUCAUUCCUUUCCGACAGCUUGUCCCUGUGUGAAUUAAACAACUCGUUUACCUUAUCCAUUGUGAAAUCAAGAGAAAUCUUCACAUAGUUUCUGGACUGCUCCUUCCAGUUUUUUAUGUGAUCUUCGACCCCAUCAAGUGCCUCCUUUACAUCCUUCAUGGAUCCCUCGAGUUUACCCACACGUUCCUCUACUGCUGAUAAUGUCUCCUUCAAAGAAUUCCUCGCCCACCUUUGUUCGAACUCUUCUCUCGACAUCCCAACGGUGCCUUUGAACCAACAACUCGAACAUUACUUGGUUCAAACUUGGCUCGGAUACCACUUGUCACGGGGCUAGACCUUUCAUCUCGCAAUCCGUGCGGCCUUAGGCGAUUUGUUCGUCCAAACCCGCCCAAGUCAACCUUAACUCAAGUGAGGAUUCUUUUAGAACUCCUCCAAGGCACCAAAUUGAAGAGCGGAAGUGAUUUAUGCUAAAAGAAGAACAACAGAAAGCCACAGAAAAGAUUGCACACAAGGUGUUUGAGUAAAUGCUCUCUAUUUCUCUUAUUCACAAAGAAUAAUGAAACAAUGAAUGGAGUGAGUACAACUGAGGGGGAGGCUCUCUAUUUAUAGCUGAGCUCCCCCAAAAUUGACGGUCAAGAUAAAUUUACAUCGACGGAUGAGAUUUAACCAUAUCCCUUAAUUUUAGGGAUUUACAAGAUAAGCCUUAUCAAAUCAAAUCUAAUCUUUACAAGAUAUGAUUCCCUCUAUCUUCUAAGAUUAGUUGCCAUAUUAGCCUAAGUUGUCAUCUCUUCAUUAUCGGGCCAACUAGGCUUCAAUCUGACAGGCUUGUCCAAUAGCUCUUUGAAUCGAGCCAGUUCUCGUAGGCCAAAUGAUCUCCAUCUAAGCAAUAGACCUCCAUUGGAUGCAUUUGGUGCGAUGGUCACGGGCUUUGAACUGCGGCCCGUGACACUCGCACCUGGAUUAUUGUGUUAGAUGUUAGAUAGGAUAUACUCUAAGUCAAAUGUUAUGAAUUGUUUUAUGAACUUCCCUCGUGAAUGUCUUGCACUAGGUGUUAAUGACUGCCAGCAAUCCUUGUUACAAGAAAAAGAAACAAUUUGUUAGUAGAAAUUAUAGUAAUAUUAAUAACAAAUGCUAAAAUAAAAAUAAGAAAAAUAAUUAGAUUUAAAUUCGUAUCUAUAUUUUAAAAUUUCCUAAUUAUUCUAUAAGACACAAAAAUUAAACUAAUUUAGUACUGUUGCCUCCCUAGCAUUGACACCAACAACUUGACUGCCUCCGGACGUACUAACGUCUAGAGUAUGAAUACUGCUACUAAAAAUAUAGAAUUGAGGCAGUGUCCGCAAGUAUACGAGUCAAGUUGUAAUAUAAUUUUACAACGAAGUAGGUAAAUACUCCGAGGAUCGUACCUAAGGGACGUGAGUACUAAAUUAAUAUUAACCUAAACAUAAAUAGAUCUAAUUAAUACUAUAAAUAAAUUAUAGUACGACAAAGUAUAAAGUGAAAAAUAUUUGUUUUUGUAAGAAAAGAAAUAAACAUGCAUAAAAUAAUAAAAACAGAGAAUUAAUAUGUAAACUCAAUCAAAUCUAAGCAAGGGUGACUAGCUCACUUCGAUGGUCAUAACUAAUUCUUAUUUCGAGUUUUUACUCAAUUAACUAGUCGUUACCCUAGCAAGAUCUCUUGAUCUUCCACAAAACUAACAAAUCGAUAAUAACUACUUAUCUCUCUACCUCACAGUCCAGAUCGGAUUGGGGUAAGGGGUUCACGAAUAGGUAAUACCAAUUUUAGGUUAAUUCCCACCUAGAUGACUUCCUAGGAUUGUCAAGCCUAAGGUUUAAGUUCUUCAUAUCCCAAACAACUAAUUCGUUAAGAAACCUUACAUAGAAAUUAAUUAAUCACACUUCCACUCACGAAUCCCCCAUAAGAGGAUUAGUUCUUCAUGGAUCCCAUAAAUAAUAUAAACUUGAUAAAGCAAACAAACAUAAAAAAACAGAUCAAGAUUAAAAGUUUAAAAAGAAUCUUGAAUUGUAUUUGAAUGAAGUGCAGAAAUCCACAAAAAGUUGCAUUGAAUCCACAAGUAAGAUUCUCUGAAGAACAAUAAUGAAAAAUCAACUGAAAAUAAAUCCUAAGAACAAAAUAAAACUAAAACUGAAAACUAAACUGAAAGGAAAAUUCUAAGCUACAAAAAAGAUGAUCUCUCAAGUGUUUAAUGAGUCUAUUUAUAAUAUUAGGGUUGGCCGUCGUCCUUAGCCCUAGUUUGGUUGAUGUUUUUAUGUUAAAAUACAUUGUGUAGACCAAAACGCCCUCAGCUCAGUAAUGGUUCGCAACAGGGCUGGUGUCGUGACCACUACUGCCUAUGUCGCAACACUGAAGGUAGUUUACUUGGCUCUAACUAUGUCGCAACACCAAAUGUAGUAUGGCUAUUUUGGCAUUUUUUUAACUAUGUUGCAACAUUGAACUUUUGUGUUGCAACAUAGUGACUAGCCUAGAGUUCUCAUGCCUCUGAAUGGUGUCCUGCACUCACUAACUUUGUUUUUCUUUCCUUAGGCCUACUUCGACCUCUAAUGUCAUAAAAUCGACUCAAAUCACACUUUUUAUUAACUUUGAAACUAAAAUAUAAAAACAUAAUAAAACAUAAUAAUAUUGCUCAUAUUCAAGCUCCUUCAAGUAUGAAACUAUUUAAUUUGCUACAACGAAUUGUAGCAUAUCAAACCUCUCAAGCGCUCUUUCAAUAUUGAAAAUGCGCACAAUCAGCUUCUUUUUGUUUCAAAUAAUAUGGCAAAAAAUUAGUGUUCCACACUUUAACGAUAUUUGUAAAAUGUUCAACAUUACAAACAAUGCCUUUUGAAAAAGACCAACUUUUCUCAAUCAGUUCACCAAAUCCUAGAUGUUGUUGCCAGACAAAAAUAAAGUGAAAAGGGCAGUCACUUUUAUCACCACAAUCUCUUCCAAGUGAAGGUAGGAUGGAUCUGUGGUAGAGCCUAGUUUUUCUAGAUGUUGAACGGAUGAGUUCGAGAAUCCCAACAACCAACUUUCAUUAGCAAGACACCUAUAAAGUAUUUGAUGUAGUGCCCCUCUAGUCCAAGUGUAGGAAGGGCCUGAAAAACCAAAACCAUGUAACCCAAGUUCAAAUAUAGCAUUAUUAACUGAGAACUUACACCAUGGUUGCACCUUGAUCCUCCAGCCCGUUCAUCAAGAGAAGAGAUUGCAUUGAAGUCUCUGCCCAUAACCCAAGGUUUAUUAGAGGGUGCGCACAUAUUCAUAAGAUGCUGCCAAAAAAGCAUCCUACUUGCAUUUGGACUACCAUAGAUGGCAAUAAGCUAAAAUUCUAAGCUAGUGUCAAUAUCUUUGCAUUAAGUGUGGAUAUAUGACUGCCUUUGGACAUACUAACGUCCAGAGUGUGAAUACUACAAUAAAAUAUAUAUUAAUGAGGUGACAUCUGCAAGUAUACGAGUCCAGUUGUAAUAUAGUUACAGCAGAGUAAGUGAGCACUCCGAGAAUCGUACCCAAGAGAGGUGAGUGCUAGAUCAAUUUUAACCUAAACACAAUUAGAUCUAAUUAGUACUUUAAAUAAACUAUAUUACGAAUAAACAUAAAUAAAGGAUUUUUGUUUUUAUAAUUAAAGAACUAAAAAUAACAUAAAUAAAAAGAGUAUUCGAAAAACUAGAUUAUAAACUGGAUCAAAUGUAAACAUGGGUGAUUAGCUCAAUUUGGUAGUCAUAAUCAACUGUCGUCUCGGGCUUUCUUAUGCAACCAACUAGUCACUAUCCCAGCAAGAUCUUCCGGUCUUCCAUUCAAAUAACGAGUCGGUAAGAACUACUUAUCUUCUGACCUCACAAUCUAGACCGGUUCGAGCUAAGGUGUUCACGAAUAGGCCAUACCAAUUUUGGGUUAAUUUCCACCUAAAUGGCUUCCUAGGGUGGUCAAGCCUAGGGUUCAAGUUCUUCCUCUCCUAAACAGUUGAUCCACUAAGAAAACCCUACAUAACAAUUAAUUAAUCAUACAUCCACUAGCUAAUCCCUCAUAAGAGGAUUAGUUCCUCACAGGAUCACUAAACAUCAUAAACUCGGUACUGAAUAUAUGCAUAAAGAAUAAAACAAGAGUAAAGUUUAGAGAAUACUAUUUGUAUUUGAUAUAUGAAGUGUUGAAAUCCUCAAAUGUUUGAUUGCGUCUACAAAUUAAGUUCUUCGAAGAACACUAAUGAAAAGUUUCGAAACCAAUUUUUAAAACAAAAAUUUAGUUUCCACAUAAAAAUGAAAAUUGGAGUCGCCACCGAUCUUUUAUUGAGGUGUGAUCGGAUCACCUUGAAAAUGAUUUUGGUCUACGAGUUUCAAAAAAAAUGAGCUCGGGAGUCAAUUACGUAUGAGAAAGGGUUAGCACCCUCGUAACGCCCAAAAUUGGUACCUAAUUGAUCAUUUAAUGUCUUAAGGUCGAAUGAUAAAAAGAUUAGAAAGCAAUUCCCAUUUUCAAAAUUUUUAUUGAAAUUUAUUAUUUUGAAAACUAUAAAGUUUGGUCAUCUUGCUUCAAUGAAGAAAUCGAAACCUAGUAACUUAGGGUACGAUUCUUUGAAGUUUCGAUGACAACACAUGUAUUUGUUUUUAUUUAAAACCUCGUUUCGGGAUAACAAAAUGUCAUAUCCAAUGAGUUAGGACAUAACAUUUUGAAUUCCCGAGAUAAGCUUCAGUUUGAUAUUUUUACACUUUAAUUGAAGAAGAAAUACUCGAUUACUUAAAUUCAAUGAAGAAAAUUGAAGCCCAGUAAGUUAGGACACAAUCUUCUCGAGAAUCUUGGAUACUAAAUAUAUUGAAAAACUUAUGGAUAAAAACGGUUUCAAUAUUUUAAUAAAACAUAACCUUUUAAAUGAACGUAUUGCAAUUGAAUGAUAAUGUACAACGCAAAAGGAUAAUUCGAAAAUAAAAUAUACAUUAAUGAGCAAUGAAUAAUCAAUAAAUAAAUACAAACAAACAUAGCAACAAUAAUCUCACUUGUACAUUAUGCCAAUAUGAAUAUCAACAUUCAAAAGCUAAUAAAAAACGAGCCAAUUAAUGCAAAUGCAAACCAAAUGUACAAGUUUUGAAAUAACUAAAAAAACAAAUGGCAUGAAGGAAAUGGAAAUUGUAAAUCAAUAAAGUAUACGUACAAAAAUUUAAAAUAAAUAAUAUGCAAGAAAUUGAAAUAACCAAAAAUUGAGUUAAAAAAUAAAUACUAUGUGAGACAAUAAUAUUUAAACAAAUUUUAAAAUAAAUGUUGCACACGAGGAAAAUCAAAACAAGCACUAUACAAAAUAAUAUACAUAUAUUAAUCUAAUAAGUGAUACGUAUAAAGUGAAAACCCGAUAUAAAUAAUGAUAUAUGAAAUAAUAUGUAAAAGUUGAAAGAUACAAAAUAUAGAAGAAGGUAUUUUAAAGAAUGAAAUUAUAUACAUAUAAGUAGCUUAAAAAAACGUAUUUAAAGGGGAACUAAAAAAUCAUAGUUAUAAUAAUAUAAAAAUAACAAUAUAUUCAUAUAAUAAAAAAUAUAUAUAGAUCAUAUGCAUAUAAUAAUGAUAUUGUAUGAGAAUACUAUCAUAUAAUUCUUUAAAAUGUAAAAAUAUAAAAGAAAAUUUUAAAAAUAAAUACAUUAUAAAAUAAGAUUAUUAAAAAAAUACAUAUUAAUCAUAUUAAGCUUAUAUAAAAAUAUAUACAUAAAAAUAGUAUAUGAUAGAUAUAAAUAAUGAUAUGAUAAGUUUAAAAUUAUAGUACAUGAUAAAUUUCAAAUUAUGAUAUAUGAUAAACUUAAAUAAUAUUAAUGAUAAUUUAAAAUAAUAGUAUAUUAUAUAUUAAAAUAAUACUAAUGAUAAAUUUAAAACAAUGUUAAGCUUAGAUAUUAAAAUAAUACUAGAUUUUAAAAAAUAUGCCAAGAAUAUGAACUAAUUAGAUUUAGAAUUAAACUAAAUAAAAACUAAAUUAGAAUUGAAGCAUUAUUAAAAGAAGAAAAGGAAAAAAUAAAAUAAUAGAUCGAAGAUUAAAUUGGAAUUAAAACAAAAUUAAAAGGGCAACACACAGAAAUAAAAAUAGAAGAAAGGCUAAAUUUGUAAUCGAUUCAAAAUUGUGAGACUAAAUAGCAAUUAAACGUACAAAUUCGGGCAUUCAAAUCCAAUUAAUGGAAACGACACAGUUCAACCAGGGAUCUAAAUGGAAUAUGUAUCAAAUAUGCGGUAACAAUUUAAAAAAAUGAAGAAUAACUGAAUUGAAAUGAUAGCCAAUGCAGAGGGGCUUAUUGUGCAAAAAGACCGUUGAACAAAAUGCGCGGAUCCUCCCAGGGCCGGAUCGGGUCGCACACGGUUUGAGCAAAUACGACGCCGUUUUGGGGGCCACUGAUUCAGGCCCCAAAAGACGACGUUUAAAUGCCCUAUAAGAACUAAUUUCAAAACCCCAAAAUCAUUUCAGCCGCAUGACGCAUAUUUAGGCACUUUUGUCUCUCAACCGCUGCGCCACCUCAACAAAUUCGAAGUCCCAUCUAGCUCCGUUUUGGACGGAACAAAUAGGGCUCUGUCAUCGCCUCCGCGCAGGUAAGUAUAUCUCCAUUUUAUUUCUUUUUUUUUUAUUUGCAAAGAGAAAAACAAAAGAAAACAAAGAAGAAAAAAAGAAAUCGAAAAAAUCACCUUCGUCUUAUUCAAUUUCUCUGUAUUUUUUAUUUCAUGCGUAAUCAAAAAAAUAUCCCCCUUUACAAAAACGAACCGGCUUUUUAUAGCCAAAAUACUAUGAAUUUACAGCAAAAAUAAAAUACAAAAAUCUCUUCUAUUAUUUGUUGGCCCUUUUCUGUUAUAUCUUUUAGUGCGUUUUCUUGCUGGUUUGUUGUGUUUGUUAUAGGUGCGAGGCCGUUGUGCUGGCGUGGCGACGCACAAGGGAUGGGUGGCGCGUGUGGAUGCUUGGGGGAGGAGCGACACGGGAACAGCCUGCUAAGUUAGGGUUUUUUGAUUAGGGUUAAAUUUGGUAUUGGGCUCCAUUAGGUUUAGCAAUUGGGCUAGGUAUUUGGGUUAAGUAUUUGGGCUAGGAUAACUUUGAAUUUGGGUUUGUAGUGGGUCUGGUAUACAAUUGGGCUUUGUGAUUAAUUGGACUAUGAACUUUUUAUUAAUUAUUGGUUUUAUUUAUUUUAAAUUUGGUUUUUAUUUUUGAUUUGGGCCCGGGCAAAAUGGGCCUAUUACAAAAAAAAAUUAAAAAGAUGUCUAAACCCUAAGAGAAAGAAAAAAUAAAUUGAAGACUAAAUUCUACAAAGGAAACUAAUAAUAUCAAAAGUUGUCCUUUAACAAGUGUUUAAGAGCCUAUUUAUAGAGUUAAGGUUGUCGUCAUCCUCAACCCUAGGUUAGCUAACGCUCUCGUAUUUAACUUUUGAUUGUGCGAACCAAAACGCCCCUGGCUCAUAAGUGUUUCCCAUACAAGAUUGAUGUCGCGACACCUUAAUGCCUAUGUCACGACAUCAAAGACAGUAUGCUCAUAUUCAGGGUAUCUUCAGGGGUGUGUCGCAACAUCCUUAGACCGUGUCGCGACACUGAAGGCAGACUUGGAAUUCUUCUAUUCUGCUCCGUUUGUUGCGACAUCAAACUCUUCGUGCUGCAACACAAUGACCAGUAUCGAGUUAGCACGCCUUCUAAUGGUGUCCUGCACACUCACAAAGUAUAUUAGCUCACCCUUAGGUCUUAUUCGGCCCCUAAGGUCAAUAAAAGACUCAAAUUACAUUUUUAUUGAAUGUAAAUGAAAUUAUGAAAACUUGACUAAAACAUAACAAAAUGCUUGUAUUCAAGCUCCUCAAAUGCGAAAACUAGUUUAAUCUGCUACACUGAAUUAUGACAGAUCAAUAUACUAAUUCGAUAUGGAAAUUACAUCUAUCAUGAUGUUUUGUCUCCAAAGAAUCCAUAUUCCACCCGAGAAACCAUGUGUUUCAACUUUGUAAGAAUUGAUCAUAACCAAUCUUUUUUAACAAUUCCAUUGGCCUUUAUUCCAAUUAUACGAGUCUCCAUUCGGACAAGGAUUCUCGGUUUAUGCUUGGACACAAACAUCUUUAAAAAGUGAUUGAACCUGUUACUCGUUGCACCUUGACGAUUCCAAAACAAUAUAUUCAUCAUAGUAAAAUAAAGAAAAAAGAGAAGAAGAAUCAAACUCAUAAAUUACUGUCAGGAGAGUCGUUUUCUUCCACAUAAUUCUCAGCCACCAUAUCCCCAGCCACUAUCAUUGGUUGCUCAAUCUCCUCAUUUGCCCCAGAACUUGUAGAAGGAAGCAAACCAUUCAGGGACCCUCCAUUAGGAUUAUCCAUUUGUGACGUGUGCUCAUGGAGUUUUCUGGAUAGAGAAGCAACCCAUUCUGAAAGGAGAUGCUUAGGUGCAUUUUUACGUUCCACCUUUUUCCUUACUUUAUGACCCUUUUUUGUAAUUUCUUUCAUGCUGGUAGUCUUGAAUUUACUUUGGAUUCCUAUAUCUUUUCUUACAUGUUGACCAACUCGAUGAAUAGUCGAUUUCAAGCCUUCAUCAAUUACAAUUACUGCUUGGUGAUUUUCCUUGUCAAGUGUCGUUAGCUGAUUAAUCACCAUUAAUUCUCAUGUUCCCAUAUCUUCUAACCCCCGCUUCCUUUGUAAUAAUCGUCGUUUGCAUGGAAGAAACUGUUUGGUUUGUUUCCUUUUUUGGACUUUAUAUUGCCAUUAUUGCAGCUCACUCAAGACAGUAAAACAUUGAAUUGUAGGAGUUCCCUUAAUAUGACUCGUAGGUCUUCCACCAUUCCUUCCGGCCGCUGUCAGGUUCCUGCUCCGACCACUAGUUACUUGCAUCCAAGGUUCAUAGAGUCCUUGAUCAUUGGAUCUAUUUUCUUUAUUCCACAUCAGAUUCACCGAUGUGUGAUUCAUCGUCUCUUCCAUAGCAGUUGACAGGGUAUCUGUUUUCUUUUCACUGGGAUUCAGUUUUCAAUUUUCUUUGAUGUGGCCAACCCUACUGCAGUCAUAACAAAUUGAUGGAAGACCCUCACAAACUACUGCUUGUUUUUUCCUGUCGAUCCCCAAGAACGAAACAAGAGGUUUUGAUAGGUCAACCACCACAGCAAUCCUCGCAAACUUACCUCUCUUCCCAUCAGUGGUAUUGUAGUCCGCCUUAACGACUCCACCACUGACUUCAGCCAAUGCGAGCAUAAGACCCUUUAUGUAAUAACGAUAGUAAAGCCCCGGUAAUCAUAUCCAUGCUAUAAUCUUCGAUAGAUGAGCCUCCUCUGUAGAGAAUUCGCGGCUCCAAGGUUGCACCUCCAAGUAAUGGUCGUAAACCAUCCAAAGGCCACCCAUAAGAACUCUAUUGUAGUCAUUCUAGCUAGCAAGUUUAACAAGAAAGUAAUUAUUAUGAAGAUCAACAAUCUUGUAGUCACUUGUUAACCCCCAGAGGCUUUCAAUUCUAUUAGAUAGUGCCCUAUAUCUGAUUGGUCUUCCGAGCAUGCGUACGAUCACCGUUUGUUUCAUGCUUUUGUUGAUCAAAUUAUGAACUCUUUCAGAGAAGUAGAUUUGAGGGUAUGGGGCAUCUAAAGAUAUUUUAACAUCACCCUCAAGAAAUGUAAUCUCCUUUUCAUCAUCCAAGGGGAGAUGCACAUCCUCAUCUUUUUCCUUCAUUCCCAUUGCCCAUUAACAUCUCUUUAAAGGAAACCUUACGUGUUUCGGGUUCCUUCAUCACCUGAUCAUCAACAUCCACCAGAUCGAAAUCUUUGUUUUUUACUUUCUUAGUAGCUCGUAGCAGCUCCGUCGGUAGCGGAGAGCCUGAGCGUUCAUUGCUAGCGAGAGCGUCCAGAGAGAGUUCCAUUUGUACUAUGCCUACUAAAAUGUAUAACGUAGUACUUUUGAUUUGUAAGAGAUAUAAUUCUAUUGAAAAAGUUAAUCAUCAUAUUUAACUUUAAAAAAAAAAAGAAACAAAGGUCAGAUUGAAAAAAUUAUCAUCAUAUCAAAUUUAACGUUAUGCCCAGAAAAAUAAAUAAAAAAAUACAAGUAAAAUUUUGAUCUGUUAAACCUAAAAUAAGAAUAAUGAAUAGGCCUGGUAUGAUCAAUCUAUUAAAAAGGAAACAAAAAUGUGAACUGUGGGCUGGGCCUAUUUUCACUGAAAUAGGCAGUCUGCAAUGUGGUGGGUAAGGCUUUCUUUUUUGUCAUUGUAAAAACAAUAAAUUUAUUUAUAUUUGAUACAAAAUUACAUUUUGUAUAUUAUUUUAUAUUAGUCUUCCCCCUAAAAACAAAGUUAAUCUUUCAACUUAUACCUUAGCCUAAACAAGUUGUUAACCUUUCACUUGAAAAUAAAAGCUUAUUAGGGUACCAAUCAAAUAAAUAAGAAAAAAAGUAUAGGGACUUAUGUAAUAAUUCAAUUUUUUUUUAAACAUUUGGCGAACAUAUAUAAUUACAGAUGGCAGAAUAGAUAUAAUAGAUAAAUAAAUAAGACAGAUGUUGAACCUUAAAGAUCCAAGAUGAUGUGUGGGCAUAGAAGACAAGUUCUGUCUAAAAAUUUUGAAAUGUGGGGUUUGCUUGCCCCAUUCAAGGUUGAACACAACCACUUUACAUGUGACCAUCAAUUCCAUAUUCGGCCUAUUUUUCUAAUUUGACUUCUCCUUUUUACUUAUCCUUAACAAACAUUCUUUUUGGUAAUUAGACUUCCCCCCUCCACAUGCACCAACCAUCUUAUAUUAUAUUAUAUUAUAUUAUUCAUAAUUCCAAAUUUCAAUAUUUAUAACCUUGUGAAAAAUAUCUUCUUCUUCUUUUCCUUUUUAAAUGAAAAACCAAUCUACUUGGAUUUCAGAAUCAACUAUGCAGAAAUAAAUCUAACGUAAAGCAAAAAUAGGGUUUGCAUUUUGCAGAGGUGAGGCCAAUUUGACGGUCAAUAUUCAAGUAUGCGUGUGCGUUUCAGACAUUGUCGAUUUGCCCAAAAAGCCUAAUGCGACAAAUUAUUGCUCUGCUAUGUGCCUGAACCGCAAGGACAACCACAAAUUGUUAAUUUUCCAAGUAUUUGGACCAUUAGAUUUUUCACUCUUAAUUGAAUUGAGGAUUUCCAUUUUUUUUUAAAGAUUAAAUCAUGAAUAGUUACUUAAUUUACUACUAACUCCCCAAGGCAUUAAAAAAAAUAUUCUCUUUCAUCUUAAGUUGUCUAGGAGUUGUGAAAUUGAGAGAAAUGAAAAAAAGAAAACUGAGGCAGAUUCAGAGUCCAGAGUCUCAACAGGUAAAGCAAACUCCAGUUUCAUAAACAUUAAAAAAGAAAAGGUACCUACCAAUGCUGCAUUAUGUAAGCAAAACACGUACUUCCUAUAUCCUUACAUUACAUCAGGGAAGGAAAGAAAUAUCAGUAAUUAAAUCUAAAGGUGCUGAACUCAUCAUAUAUCUGAUAAAAAUGUUUCACCUAGUGGGAUGAUGAAGACCAAGAAACUGGGGGAGGUCAACAAGGGGAUGAUAUGUGAAGAAAGUUGUAACUCUAAAACAGAAAUGUUUUACUAAUAUAGAACUGAAGGUGAAAGGAAAAGUUAAAGAACAUGAAAAAAAUUAUCAAAAUCAAAAGCAACUAAGAACAUAGGAUGAUCCCGUUCUUACACCAUCCAUUGAAGACAGACAAAGGAGACAAACAAAGAAAAGCAAAAUUUUUUUAAAAAAAAAAGAAUUUUUGACUAGGCGAAACGAAGACCAUGUAAGCGUCACCAUCAUCGUGAUACGUUUCAUUCAUUGGUGCAUGAUCUUGACCGUCAAUGGGAAUCAGGGUUUCUUUUCCUUUUCUUUUUUCUUCUUUAUUCUUUGAUGUUCUUUUUUUUUUUUAUCUUGUGAAGUCAUGGACAAGGCUUGUUGGCCUGUCUGUGACGUUGAGUCUCCAAGAAAGGUAGGGGAUCCCAGUAUCAGAAUCUCGAUCAGUAUCUUCAAUGAACCUGAAUUCAUUAAGAGGCGAGAAACAUGGCAUUUUUUGGUUCUGAUGAACCCAUGAAUUGUUGUGGUGAUACUGAUAGCCAUGGUGUUGCUGUUCCAGCAUUGAAGCUGUUGCACUCGAUGAGUUGUUUGCAUUUGCUGCUGUAGCUCUUCUUUCUUCUUUUUUGAAUCGAAUCCCGCAGGCAUUGCAAAGUGACUGCAAUUAACAGAAACAAGGAUACAAGGUUGUUUGUUUUUUUUAUCCCGAAGAAACAAUGGAGAGAUUGGGAUUUGGAAAUUUUGGUAUACCUUUGGACCCCUCGGCCCGUUCCUCCAAAGUGGGGUUGAAGUAGUGUCGCAGUUGGCGCAGCGGCGAGCUAAUAGAGGAUCGUUGCCUGAGCCGUUACUGCUAUUCCCAUUGCUUCCACGGCUAGCUUUGGUGGUUUGGUGUGAAUAAGGUGCGCUCUUGUUCUGCAACAUGUCCCAGCAAUAGUUGGAAAUGCAAGGGUUACUACGUUCAUGCCGGAUAUGCUUGUCGUCGUCUUCACAAAGACGAGUGGAUGGAGUUCCCAAAGAGAGAGUGCAAUCGACGGAAGAAGAUGAAGAGGGCAUGAAAGGGUACAUGUUAGUUUCAUCGCAAGAUCGGUGGUUCGGCAUGGAAAAUAGCCACGAGGAGUUGCUUUGGCUAUGAUACAGGCCACAUGAACAUGGACCCACCAUGUUUCCCUGAGAGCUACUGCACCUGUGCAUUGUUUUCUCAAUCGGUUUCUCUAUGAAUAUGUGUCGAAGGCCUAACUAUACCCACUGUCACCUCAAUUUCAGCACUAUGGGAUGACCACGAAGAUCGAAUGGGGGCAGAUUCAGAAUGAUCAAAAAACCAACCAACAAUCGCCAACUGAUCAGUGAGAACAAAAUGAAAAACGAAGAAACAAAGGGAUUGAAGAUGAAUAGAAAAAGAACAAGCUAAUGCAAUUGAAAAUAGAAAGAAUUUGAUGGUGGGAGUGUAUAGUUAAAGGGCAAUGGCAGGGUAGUACGAGCCAAAUAGUAAAACUGAGAGCCAAGUGCAAUAAUAUAGCGUUUGAAUAAUAAGUUGGGAGGAAAGAGAGAGAUAGGGGGGGACUGAGAAGAGUUGUUGUCUGGUAGCUUUAUAAGCUAAUAAAAUGGCGAAAUACCAGUCAGCACCUGCAGUCCACGUUGUCGUCUAAUGCAAAUGGAGAGAUGUACAUGCUUGUAUAGCAAGAGAGACAUAAAGAUACAGACAGAGAGGGUCCCAGGUUGCAUGUUACAGAUAGAGAAAUAAACUUUUAGAAAACCUCCCCAAAAAAAAACACAAUAAACUAUGCAUAAAUAUAGUUAAAAUACUACUAGUAUACUUGUACUCUUAAAUAUUAAGUAAAGAGAAAAAAGAAAAAUAAGUCGGCCAGUCAGAGUCUGGGUCAGGGUGGAGGGGAUAGUAUAGAGAAAUAACUAAUAAGGCUAUACUAUUUGCAAGUUGAGGACUUGGUGGUGUCGUGGGCAAUGGAAUUUAUACUCCAAAACUGAAGGGGAAAAGGGAGGUGGGGGAGGGGGGGCGCUCGUAACAAAGCAAAGCAAUGGGUUGGUCAUUGGGUAGUCAAAAGAGGGCCACGUGACUAGCGGGAACAGUCUUCCAUGGAUCUGCCUUCUCCGAUCACGAGGCCCUAUUACUCUCAAACCCAAUACAUCAAAACCUCUGUCCGUAUCCGUAUCUCUGCCCCCUCUCCUCUGUCAUUGCCAGCCUCCCAAGGAAAAUGGAACAUUUCCACCCCUCACCCCCCCCCCACGCCCCUUCUCUCUGCGGCGUUUUUCCCACGCUCCAGUCCCCACUGCCGAAGGGUAUUAUUCACUCCCAGGAUUUUAUACCUUUCCUUCGUGCUCUCAGAUAAUAAAACCACCAUCGUUUUGAUUAUAGUUUGAAAGAAAAAUUAGUGUCUGAAGUUUAAAAUUGUUGUUUUCCAAGUUGGAUAGAGAAUAAAGACAUAUUUUGUAAUUUCCCAUAAACAUUGAUCACUUAGUAACACUUGUUUAUUUAAAUUUUUUGUUGGUUUGUGAUAUCUGAAAGGUUUUAACUUUAACUAUGUCUUCAAUGAUCAGGUAUACAGGAAGGAGAUAGUGAUUGUCACGCACUGGUUUUGGCAGUGGGGGAAGGAUAAAUUAAGCUGAUAAAUUUAGUUAUAAGUGUAUUCAGCAGAGCUAUGAACACUGCUAUUAUAACAACGGCGACUCCGUUAGUUGUUAUAGUCAUAGGCAAGUCCAAUCCAUUCGUCCCUUCCAAAAAAAAAAGAUAAUCAAGUUUUCAAGGUUACUAUGAUAAGAACCAAGCCGUACCCUGGAAUCACGUGAACCUCUCUCAAAAAACCAAAGCCAAUAUCGUCAUGAUAAUCAUCUCUUCAUGUUCCGUAUCUAAAACCCAUCACCACCACCCCGAAAAAGCCUUUUGGUUUCUAGUAUUUUGUCUUAGCAAAUAGUAAAAUCCCCAACACUGGAAACAAGGCUAAAGGGGAAAUGAAAUGAAAUAAAUUAAAUUAAAAAUAAAGGUAUCAAAAUGAGAUACUCUGCAAUCAUCAAAGCAACAAACAUCUCUGUUUCUACUUAGCUUACCAAGAGAGAAAGAAAAGAAAGAUGUUUGAGUCAAAGAUGGGAAAUCACAAAAAGAAAAAGGUCAAAAAAUUUGAGAAAUUAAGAAACCCCCCCCCAAAAAAAAGGGCACACUCAGAAAUGACCCCACAUCAUCAUGGCUAAACCCCAAACCAAAAUAAAAAACCCAAAAUAAUAUUCAAUUGAUCUCAUGAAGAAUAUGAUGGAAAGAUUCAAAAAGAUAUGAAGAGAGAGAGAGAAGGAGAGGAAAAAAAAAAGAAUCAGAUCGUCUAGAGAUUGGUGAGGGGCCUUACUUAGUUCGACAAACGGGACGACCACCGCUUUCCAAAAGAUGCUCUUCUCACCGCUUUGUAAACCACGAAAACACACACAAAAAAAACCCUGUGAGUAGCCCGAGAUAGUGUCGCCAUUUCCAAUCAUCAUUUUCCGCCACGCGACCCACAAAUGAUCGAUGCGAGCGUGGAGAACACGCCGAGGAGAGGAGAGUGGGGGAGGAGCUCAAAUGCCCAUAAAAUUCGAGGAGAUCUUUUUUAAUGGGAAACUCUGGGAUUUGCUUAAUCAUCUCAAACCCACAAAACCCAUCGAAGAUGAUUUAAUGUUUUAGAUGGCAUUUUUAUUUUUUCGUGCUCCCGAAUUGAAUCAUGAUGCUAUGUGACUCGUUGGGGUGGGGUCCACUAAUUUUAGGGUUUAGGAUAGUUUUUAUGGUUUUUCCAAGGGAAAUCAAAGCAGAUCGUCUCAGGGGUUUUAUCAAUUCUCAAGGUGCCACGAGGGUACCGUGAGGGUGUAGAUUUUGUUUUAUUUUAAUUUUAAAAAUGUAAAAAAAUUGUAGAGUUGGGUUGGGUUGGGUUUUGCAUGCCAUGCAGGGCAUGCAAAAAUGUGAUAAACAAGGAAAGACCCUUGCAACAGGCUUUUAAAUAAUGAGAGACCGCAUUAAUUGAACAUUCCUCAAAAGCAACGAGAAUACAACUGGAAUGUUUCUUGGGAGAUUGAGUUUUUUUUUUUAUGAAGGAUGGGAAAAGAAAAAGGUAAGUUGAGAAAAGGAGUGUUUGCUUGAAGAAGAAGAAGAAGAAAAAAAAAACAAAGGAUCCGACGACCCAACGGACCAACAUUUAGAAAAAGGAGUGCUUGUUUGAAAAACAAAUAUAUGAAAGAUAAGUUGUUGUCAGUAUCAACGGGCAUCUAAUCUAAGGGUCACUGUAACCUCUAAUUGUCGCCUCCAAGGAAGUCUAAUCACUAUCUUCUUAAACCUUACGUUCAAAUUUUGCACCUUUUUCUUUUCUUUCUUUGGUCUUUUGAGUUUGUCCUAAGGAUUAAACUCCUUGCACUUGUGCUUAUCUGAAUUUCAUUUAUUUAAAUAUACCAACUUAUACAUGGUUACAUCAAAUAUAAAUCCUAAAACCAAACCCAAAAUAAUUAAUUAAAAAAAAGAUGGUUAGAAAAAGAAAUGGAUGAAUGCCUUAGAAGGGUUAGGUAUCAUUGGACUGGAUCUAGUCUUCCUUGACUGUCAUUUGUAUGCAUGUCCUUUACGUAAACCCUUCCUUUUUUUUAUUUUUCCCUUCUUUAAAUACUUUGAAUCUCUAUCUAUAACCCUUUUUUCCCUGCAACAAAACACAAAUUUCCAAACCCAAACAUUUAUAUUUUAAAUGCUUAAAGCUUACGAUAUGGACACUCUUUUCUUCUUUUUUUUCAUCCGCCAUUUUCUUUUAUGAUACUAAAAUAUUGAAUCAACAGUAAGUUUUUUUUCUUUUUGUGGCAGUAAAUUCCAUUCAGUUGUACCCUAUAAGGAUCCUAUAUUUAUUGAAUAUAAUUUGUUGACUGGUCUUUUCCCAUAUCUUGUCUGCUGCAUCUUUAUUCCUUCUGGCGAAGGAAAAAGGUUGAUGAUCUGAUGGCAGAAAGCUUUGCGAUUUUAAGUUGUUUAUAUUGCACCUUCUACCUUACCUAUUGUCCUAUUGGUCUUUAGCAAUGUAAAGCGUGAUAAACGUCAGCCUUUAUAUAUAUAUUAUAUAUAUAAGACGUAUUAGGAGAUUAUUUUUCUUUUUUCACGAAAAAUGACAAUUGAUCAUCAUUCAGAUUCCAGUUUUGAAUUCAGGGAAAAACUGCACUUCUUCUUCCAAAUAUCUGUUGGAAGAUACGCUUUCUUUAACUAAUAUUUAUAUAUAUAUAUCAACUAUGAAAUUAUAUAAAUCUCUAUAUGCAUAUGAAAUACAAUUUUUUAAGAGUUAAUGAAAUUUAAUGUAUUAUUAAUAAAAGCACAUGCUAAUACUUUCAGAUUUGACACAUGAAUUUUAAAUUUGUGCAAUCAUACACAUUAAAUUUUUAUUUUGAUUCAAAUAUAUAUAUAAAUCUUUUAUUUUAAUUCAGUUAUAUAUAUUAUAAAAAUAAAUACAUUUAACUUAGUUUUAUAUUAGAUAAAUAUAAUUAUUUGUGUAUGUAAUAUAUAACAUGAAAUAAUAUUAUAUCAAUAAUAAUGUUAAUAGUUUAUAAAAAUCGAAUUAAAUCAAAAUGUUAUAUAUAAAAUUACACAUUAAUUAAAUCAAAAUUAAUGGGAUGAUGGACUAUUAAUACUAAUUUUCUAACUAUAUAAAAAUAAACUAAUUAACACAAAGUCACAAUCUCAUAUCCAAUCCUCUUGAUUAAGUAGUUGAAUAGGGUAAAGCAAAAGAUGGUGAAGUUAGGUAUUGGAAACCAAUCUUAGCCAUUGGAAAUGAAAUUAUGUCGAUAUCGGAAAACCCACAAAGUUGAGGAUCUCAUUUUCAACUGAUAAUGAUAAAAAAUCAAAAGACAAUAUGAAGAAAGUUGUAAUUUUGUCAGAAAAAGAGAAGUCCUAUUAUGAAUCAGAAGAGUGGAGCUUCGGGAAUCAGUCAGAGGUAGGUGUAUAGAUAUAUAUAUAUUUGCUGGUGCUGGCAACAGUAUUGUUCCGGAGAUCUUUUUGACGCUUAAGAAACUUUGUCAAUUGGAACUUACUUGACUGUUCUUCUUUGUCAAAAGAAUAAUUAUUAUCAAUAUAUAUAAAUAAAAGGAGUAAGAGUUUAAUGGAAGCUGAUGAAGUGAACAGCUAGUUCAUAAAUCAUGAGAUUCCAGAUCUGUGCCUAGGAUAGCUAAAUUAGGAGCUUCCUCGAAAGCUUAAUAUUUCCCCUGCUCGUUAUAGCUAUCCUUUAUCGUACACAUAAUGAUAUAAUUAAGAAUCAUUCUAUACAAAUCUCAACAAAUUUGUAGUAAAAUUAUGGAAAAAGGAAAAACAAGUACACACUUGGUAGUAGCAUGUUAAAAUAGAUAAAUAAAAUCAACUACACUUUCAAAGUUAAGAACAGAGUUAACUUGAAUAAGUAGUAGCAUGUUUCACUUAAUUUCUCUUUUAAAAAAAUGACUCUUGUUUUCAGAAUGAUAGUGGUCCAAAACUUUGAAAAUAAUUAUGUUAAGGAUAGUUAUGUUCAAAAUAGAGCUUCAAUUUAGAACGGUUGUCAUUCAGUGUAUUCGUCAUUUGAGAAUAACUAAUGUUCAGAACAAUUCUUGUUUAAAAUAAUUGUACUUCAAGGACAAGUAUGCUCAGAAUAACUAUUGUUUAGAACAUGUUUUUUUUAGAAAAUUUGUAUUUUUUUUUCUAGAAGAACCAUCAUUUGGAGCAAGCACUUUCAAGAAAAGUCUCACCAUAGAACAACUCUUGUUCAAAAUAACCUCUACUAAAAACAACUAUGUUGAGAAUAAUUCACGUUCAAAAUAACCCUUAUCUAGAAACAAUUUUCUUUCAAGAACAACUCUUCUUUUAAGAAUAGCUUGCAUUUCAAGAGAUGUUGAGUAGAAAAUAUGUCACAAAAUAUUGCUUCACCAAGUAAAAGAAAUGGAAAUAAUCUCGGAAUAUGAUGAGAUUCUUAGUUUGUAUCACUUUUGGGAUGUUUCAAAGAAUUUAAUUUGGUAAAUCAAAUAUAGAGAUAGUUUUAUAAACCUUAAACCCUUAAUCUAUGCUUUUAUGAGUGAGUAAAAGUCAAUUAAAAUUGACUUAAUCGUCCAAAUAUAUUCGAUUAAAUCAAUUUUUCAAUUUAAAUGUGUUGCCCUAUUAAAUUUAUAUAUAUUUUAAAUAUUUAUACUUGAAUUUAAAUUCAAAGAUAUUAACCAAACCUAAAAUAUUAUAUACCAACCCAAAUUUAUAAACAUUAAAUAAAUUUUAUUUUAAAAAAUUGGAUCUUUCUUUGUUUAGGAAUUCGAUUUGAUAUAACUUGAUGUUUGAAUAUUUGUACUAAAUAUUGACUUGGUAUGAUUGUAUGACUUUGGCACUUUUAAAAUUUUAAGAAUAUUAUUUUAUUAAUAUAUUUUAGCGUAAUAUUUGGUGCACUAUCAAUGAAGUUCUUAGACUUUAAAAGCAGUAUCAAGAGGUUGACAAGUGUCCUAUAAGAUAUAGUAAAAUAUUUAUAAAAAAACAUGACAAUUUUUUUAUAUAGCUUGUGGAAUAAAAAAAUACACUACUGGUGUAGUUAAACUCCACAAGCAUAGUUGAAAUUGUGACAAUAGUCUCAUUUCUUUAUAUAUAAAAAUAUAUUUAUUUAUUUUAGGCUUGAGCUCAUAUCGAUUUUAAGCUCGUGUUAUUUUAGGCUCGAGCUUUCUUAGGCUUGAGUUGUCACAGGGUCAAAUUUUUUCAAGUUCAUACCAUUGUGAGCUUUAAUCGAUAUGGGAGGGCUUUCAACUUUGGGUAUGUUUUGCUAGCUCAAUCCACGGUGUGAACCACCAUAAUUAGUCAUUUCAACUUUUGUGUUGUAACACAUACCAACCAGGCAUAAGAAAUGAAAAUUGCAUUGAGUCUGGAAAGCAUACAAAAUUAAAAUGAUUGAAGCAAAAAUCCAUUAAUAAAUAAAGCAAUUAUAUACAAAGAAACACCUUUUUUAAAGUACUUAAGUUAUUUGAACAAGCAGAAUGAAGGUUAGUGUAACACCUCGUACUCGACUCGAUCGCCAGGUCUGAGCUACGAGAUGCCACAUUCGUUUUCGAAGCAACUACAAUCAUUUAUAUUCAAUUUGAGAACAUUAAAACAUUUAAAUACAAGUAUCAAAUGUGUAUAAUAGGAUAUAAAAUCAUUUUGGGUAUUAAUUGAGCUUACAAAAGCUCUUUUGCUAACCCGAGGUCAGAUUAAUUCCAAAUUGUAAAGUUUACAAAAUCUUAGGUCAACGUUGCGACUACGAGAGCUCCACGUCAUGACACAACAUACUAACUUGGCCCUCGUUACGACGUUGAGGGACCGACGUCGCGACGUGACCCUUGUUCUUCUACAAGUUAAUUCUAUAGAUUGCCCAACAAGCAUUUAUAGCAUACAUGAAUACCUUAAAGGCUUCAAUUAAUCAUUUACCAUAAUUUCAACCUGUUAAAAACCAUUUACCAAGAAAUCAACACAAUUUACAUGCAUAAUUACUAACCAUUUUGACUAUUUACAAUACAAAUUCUCAAAAAUGACAAUUCAAAACAUUUGAAACAAGUAAAAUCUAGGUACAUGCCAUUUGACCAAAACUAAAUAAGCUAUACAAACUUAGUUGAGUCGAAAACGGAGGUCCGAAUGCUGACUUCACUUUCCUGGGGCUUUAAGAAUACCUGAACCUAUGCACAAACAAACAAAUCGUACGCUGAGUAAAAGGGUUCAAUAGUACAUUUAUGAUUCAAGAUAUAUAUACCAAGGCAUUAUCAAUAUGUUUUAAGAUAAGACAUGGGUAUAUACAUCUAAUAUUCAAUCAAUUCAUGUUCCAAAAUGUCAAGCGAUUCCAACUGUGGACUUGUACAGGUAACAUGCUUAUAUCAAUAUCAAACAAUCUAUUCAACAGUGUAACUUAUAUGACCAACUCCAACUUAUUUAGCAAUUAACAAUUAUUCAAUACAUAUUAAUUUCCAUAUCAUUCAAUAACCAAGCAUUCAUUAAUGCAUCUUUACAAAUUAUCAAUAACAUUAUAUCUUUCAUAUUUCAUGGCAUUCAUUUCUUUUACUUUGAUUUCAUACCAUUCAGCUCAUUUCUAGAGUCUAUCUGUCACACCUAAUUUUUAAUAGAGGUCCGAAAUUAAGAAAAGAGUUGGGUGUUAAUUGAAAGAAAUCGUAGGUCUGGCAACCUCUACUGUAAAAUCUGAAAAUUUUAGUAGUUGAAUGGAAAAUAGUUGAGUUUUAAUUUUAGCUCAGUUACAUUGGAAUUGACUGGUUAUUGAGUGGGAAACAUAAUGAUUUCAGUCAUUGGUUUUGAUGGGUUUUUAGGUGACCAUGCGUGUAAGAUUAUAUAUAGAUAAAAAGUGUUAUUUCGAGGGGGAAUUCUUCUCGAUUCUGUUUCAUUUUCUUCUUUUAUUCAUCUUUUUAUUUAGUUGUUCCGAAAAAGAGAAAAUUCAAGGAAAGCUCUGCAUGGAACAAUGAACAAGAGGAUUGAGUCUGAAAAGAUAAUAAUAUAAUGAACUAGUAAGCUUCUUAAUCUUUCUGUACGUAUGGAUUUGAGAAAAAAGAGAAGUUAGGGGGUUUCUAUAAAUUUUGAAAGGUUUCUGCAAGUUUCUAGAAUCUAGAUUUUGAAACAUGAAGUCAUUCAAUUUAACUGGUAUAUUUGGUUGUCAUGCUUAGCUAACCAGGAUGGAGGAGACUCUGGUUGUUGGAAAAAGCUAAGCUGGCAGAGAGGAAAGACGAUAGGUGAGUUUCUGUACUCCACUAUUUGGGUGUUGUUCUAGUUGUUGUGCUACUUGUAUGUUCUGCACUGAGUUCAGUUUGAGUUCUUUGGCCAUAUAUGAUCUUUGUUGAUUGGAAAGGUUAUGCAUGCAUAUGGUUGUGCAAUUAUAUGAAUGUCUACAAGUAUGUUAUCUGAAUGUAUGAUAUGGAUAUGUAUUGAUGAAUUGAUAUGUGGCAUACUCCGUGUUGUAAUAAUGAACGUAAUGUUGUGCGUGAAAUGUAUAUUUAUAAAAUGUAGAGUAUGGAAGGAAUGAUUUGGCAGGUUAGUUGAAGAUAGGAAAAUCAAUGUAAUGAAAGAAUAGAUGAAUUGAAUGCGAAUUAGAGUCACCGAAAUAUGAAAUGGCCCGGCGAUCCGGGUGAACACUUAGGUGUUCGAACUAAAAAGGAGGACUUGAGGAAAUUUGGAUGGAUAAAUUGUCUACUGGCUCUAUGGAGUGACAUCAUGUAAAUGAUCUACUAGCUCUACGGAGCAACACCAUGAAAAUGGUCUACUGACUCUUCAGAGUCAAAAGUCCACGUCUAGCUAUGGCAUGAUCCAGUUGAGGAUAAGUUCACCUUUAUGGCAAAAUGAAGUAUGCUAAGACAGGAAACAAGGAAGCCAUUAGGGCAUAUAUGUGGAAAAAAGGAUUUCCCUUUAGAGUAUUUGCAAAUACAUAUCCGCCAUUUGGAGUCCGCCAAGGAUUAUCUAUUCUGGGAAAAUCUACUAAAGACUCUGUUGAAAGAGAGUCUUUUAGGACUACCAGAUAAAAUGGAAGGGUUCGCCAAUGGCUAUAUUAAAUAGAAGGUUUGUUUGGGACUACCUGAUGAUGGGAAAAUCCAUUAGGACCAUCUGAUAGAUGAAAUUUCCACCCGGACUAUCAUUAUUGGAGAGUCCGCCAAGGAUUAUCUAAUGAGGGGAAGUCCACCAAUAACUACCUUAUGGUGAAAGUCUACUAAAGAAUAUCUGAUUAAUGGAAUAUCUAUUUGGACUAUCUUGAAGGGGAAAGCUAGUGAGGCUAUCUUACAAGUACAAUUCUGCAAGAAAUGAUUAGUUCUUAAAAUUAUUGGCCAAAACUUAUACUCAAAGGCCACAUACGAGGAUGUAAGUAAACAGGUUUUCCUCUGGAAGAGUAUAUGCACAAGCUAAGUUAUAAGGAAGUAAAUGUCAAGAUAAUGCAGUAAGUCGAUAUUGAGUUCGACGCAGAAUGAAGGAAUCAAGGUAAGAAUCCAUCUUUUUGGUGAAACAUCUGCAAGUUCGCCAAAGUUAGAAGACAAUUUGUAUAUAUGCUUGCGUGGCUAUCUUUUGAUGAGUCAAACCAGCAAGGUAGAAUAAAAGUAUGAGAUGAAGCUUGACAAAGUCAAGUCUCAAAAAGUAAGUUGUCAGAAAGAGUAUGAUUACGCCCAAGUCCGCCCUCGAUAUGUCCGCCAACGAUACGUUCAAGAAGAACAGAUAAGCGUCAACCACACCAGCCAAAUUGCGAGAGCUUAUAUGAAACUCAGAGAGUUUAUUUACGUGCAUUAAUUCUUAUUAUUUGUAAUAUCAGACAUACUGAAACAAUUAUGCUGAUGCGUAAGUGCGUAAGGGUGUUCAAAUUUUAGUUAAAACCGAAUUAAUCGAUUUAAUUCGGUUAAUCGAUCGAUUAACCAAUCUAAUUUAUUUGGAGGUCAGUUAAUAAUUUUUUAAAGUUCGCUUAUCAGUUAAUUUGAUUCAAAAUUAGUUAAUUAAUUGAAUUAACUGAAAUAAAUAAUAUAUAAUAUAUAUUAGCAUCCCAACCAAUCCCCAACCCCACUAACCCAACCCAAAUAAACAUUUAAAACUCAACCCAAUACAAAUAAUUAAUUUAAUUAUAAAAGUAAUUUAUAUUAAAAAAAUAAUUUAAUAAAAAAACUAAAAAACUAAAAAACUAAAAAUAACUCGAUAACUUGCACCCUAUUCCGAUAUUACCUAAUCUCCCAAAAUCCUUAAUUGUUCAUCCCAAUCGUUCGUCCCUAAAUCCCUAAUCAUUCGUCCAAAAAUCUCUAAUCGCAAAUACCUUCCCUUUGCUAAAAAAAAGGUUCAUUUAAAAAAGAAGAAGACAUUUUCUGUCUUUUUAUUCUGUUUCCUUUGCUUCACUCUUUGACUAGAAAUGAGUAUUUGAAUGUGUUUUUAAUUGAGGCUGGUUUUAUGUUUGGUUUCCGAGAAAGUAAAGGAAGAGUGUCGAAGAUUUUGGUUGAUGGAGUUUAAUAUAGCUUGGCAUUUUACUUCAAAAUGGAGAUAAAUUCCGAGAAAUGUGGAGGAUUUUUUAAUUUUUGAAUUUCUAGGGUUUAAUAGGGAGAACUUUAAAUUCCUUUCUGCUUUUUUGAAUUAUGUGUGUAAAUGUAGUGGUGCUCUAGAAUGUAGAGGAUGGGAAAGCUUACAGUGAAUGAACCUUGAUUUUGGGAAGUGUCAUAUAAUUGUAGAGGCAAAAAUUAACAUUCAAAUAGGCCAUUUUGAAUUAUAUAUGUAAAUAUAAAUUAGAAUUGAAAAAACUUGUUAGAAUUCUUUUCAACUACCGAAAAAAUGAAGUUGAAAUUUUUUAGCUAAUAUGAUUUCUGGUUCAAGAUGUGGUAACCAAAGAAACCUAUGCAAUAUGACUUUAGUGGUAGCCUGACAAUCAAGACAAUAUACAUGGGUUACAAACAUCCCCUUAAAUACCUCUCUAAAGUCAAUAGAGAAGGUAGAAUAACUGCCUCAACCAUCAACUUCCUUCCUUCUCUCACCUAAGCUAAUCUCCUAUUCAUAACAUUUGUUGUGACUUGCAACCCAUUGAAUGAACCACCUAUCCGACCUCCUCCAUCUUCUCCUUUGUCAGCAGGCAACAAUAUUAAUUGUUACCAAUAUAUACAAAAAAAAAUGUAAGAGUUUGAUAAAGUGACCAACUAGUUUAGAAAUCAUGAAGUUCCAAAUUUGUGCUCAGGAAAGCUAUAUUAAGAGCAUCUUCAAAAGCUCAAAAUGCUCCCUGCUCUUUAUAGGCCUCCUUUUAUCAUACAAAUAUUGAAAUAAUUAGGCAGAUUUAUUCACGAUGUGAAAAGGGAAAUACAAGUAUUUAGCAGCUAUUAUCAUUCGACUUAUAUAUUGGGCCUUUGUUACGUAACUAGAUAAAAGAAAGGGCUACAGCAGUCCUACUUGACCCGGUUUCUAAAGGUGUAUGAGAUUUGGGCUUUUAUUGUUUCAAUCUUUUAGUAACGUGUUUAACUUAUUGGCAAAAAAUAAAAUAAAAUAAAAAGAACGUGUUCAACUUUAAAGUUUAAACCCUGCUCUCGACUUAAACCCUAGCUGGCCAACUCUCAUCUCUUUACACAAGUAGCAAUGGAGACUGAAACUUGCAUUGACUCUAUGGACUUCAAAGUUCAAGAGUUAUUAAAGGAGGCUCGUCUCGAAUGUUCGUCUCUACUUACCAAGCUCGUCGACGACACCGUUUCCGCCAUCAAAUCCGCCAUAGAUAAAAUUCCUGAAGGCCUUCAGGUAUUUAAAUUUUUAUUUAAUUAGUUCUGUUUUUGGUUUCUUUUUCAUAAAUAGAUGGAAGGGAAUAGUGAUGGAAGAUUUUUGAAGGUUACCGCGGAUUGGGCUCCAGGUUUUGUGAGAGAUAUUGGUGCAGACAAAGCCGAAUUUAAAUUUAAGAAGCCGAAGUCUAUUGAAAUUGGUGGUAGUUAUUCAAUAGGCUGCAUAGCAAAACCAGAUGUUAAUAUCGAUCUUCUCCUCCGCUUACCAAAGGUAAGAUUAUUUACAAUUUGCAAUGUUUUAUUCACUUUAGUAUUCUAUUGUAAUGCAUAUAUUUAACGUGUAGCAUUUAAGAAGUCAAUUCAUAAUUUAGUUUAUUGCGUUCAAUUUUGCUUAGCAUUACUUAAAAUGCUUGAAUUUUGUUUUUCGUUUGAUGAAUUCGAAAUUAUUACCAUGGCUUUAAAUCGGUCAGAUUAUUACAUUGAUACGAAGUCAAAGGUGCUGCUGUUUAACAAUUUUUAAAAUAUGGCAGGAAUGUUUCCACGAGAAAGACUACCUAAAUUACCGGUAUCAUGCUAAAAGGUGCCUUUACCUCUGUGUUAUAAAGAAGCACUUGAAAUCCUCUUCAUCAAUUCAGAAGGUUGAAUGGUCUGCUUUGCAAAACGAGGCUAGGAAACCUGUAUUGGUUGUCUAUCCAGGUUUGUUUCUUACUUGAGUUCCCAAUAAAAUCACCUUUGUCAUGUUAUCACAAGUUGACAGUUCCCUAAACUUUCGAACAAAUCCCUGAUUUAGUCAAAUUUAAAUAAUGGCAUUGUAGCUGCAAACCUUGGUGAAGUUCCUGGGCUUUUUAUAAGAAUAAUUCCCACAGCAACAUCCCUAUUUGAUCUUUCCAAGUUGAACAUGAAGCGGAACAAUGUACGAGCUCUGAAUGCAGGUAAUACAUGGCCAUUAGUUCUUCCCUCCCUCCCCCCACCCUUGAGCUGUACGGUGAAUGUCCAUCUCUUCAUACUGAUAAUAUAUGUCUAUAAAUCUUAUGAAGGGGAUGAUCCUCAGCCUACACCAAUAUAUAAUUGUAGCAUAUUGGAAGACAUGUAUUUAGAGGAGAAGUCAAAUUUUAUUAAGAAAACAUUUUCUGGAUGGAAGGAAUUGGGAGAGGCCUUAAUCUUGCUGAAGGUAUUAUGCCAUAUACUUGAAGAAUUUUAAACAUUGAGUUUUCAUGGCAUUGCAUCUGAAAUUUUGGUAUAUUGUUGGUGCAGGUCUGGGCUCGGUUGAGAAGUUCGAUAUAUGUUCAUGAUUGCUUAAAUGGGUUUCUAAUAUCUAUUAUAGUGUCGUACCUUGUGGCCAAAAAUAAGAUUAACCGUGAUAUGAUGCCAAUGGGGAUAUUUCGUGCCACAUUGAAAUUUAUUGGUAUGCUUUUAGCAUUUAAUAUAUACCUGUAGAGGAACACUAAUCAUCAAAUUUAGUUAGAAAUUCAAAUUGUUUUUGUUCCACAGAAACUCAACCAUUGUGGAAGCAUGGGCUUUACUUUCCAAUGUCAGACCAGAAUGUUUCUUCUAAGGUCUGUUGUGAUUUUCAUUGGCUUUCAUACUUUUUGGUAUAUGAUCCUUGAAAAGCUAUCCUUGUAAAUGUUUUAUGCUAUUAAAUUUUACCGUUAUUAGAUACUUUUUAAGAUGUAACAUAAUGUUGGUUGGAGAUGCUAAUUAGUUCAUGAGUUUCCGAUUUAACCUUCUUACCUUGUAUUUUUACAUGGAUGUACAAUACAUAUUGUGUUAAUUCCUUGGGUUUUUGAACAGGGAAAUGAGCAGCUUAAUUCUUUAACCCGCUUCAAUUUGGCAUUCAGAAUAUCAAGUGUUGCUUAUCCUGAGGUAUCCUCUUGUGAUUAUGGUUGGAAGACCUAUAUGACGAUUUUCUAAAAUUAUGUCACUCUUCAAAAGAUUCCAUGUCUAUAUUUGACUUUACUUCUAUAACUGAAGACAAAUUUUAAGUUUCUGAUUUAUUCUGAUUGGAUGGAAUUCUAAUACGAAGUAUAUUUUCCUCCUACAAUCAGCUACAAGAUGAAGUUGCGUUAACACUUAGGUGUUUAGAAAAAUGCAGAGAUGGUGGAUUUGAGGAAAUUUUCACAACCAAGAUUGACAAUGCUGCUAAAUACGAUUAUUGCAUUAGGUAUGCAUCAAUAAGUUGAUGGCUCCUUCUUUGUUUCGUCUUGUCUCAAAGAAAAUGAUAGGUUGUAAACUGUAAUUAGUUUGUUUCCUUCUGUUUAUUGUUAUAAAAUAAUUGUGUUUGAGCAUUUAGAAGGUCUUUAUACCAGAUAUUAUUUAUUUAUAUUUACAUUCUGUUUUGGUCUGAUAGAAUCAACAAAGAAAGAGAUUAUGCUUUUUCCCUGAUCAACUUGCCGUUGUUAUUUGAUAUAUAUAUUUUUUCAAAUUUUGAAGUAAAUAAUUUGUUAUCUUACUGAAUGCAUCUUUUUCUUGGAGCCUAGCUGUUUGAAGCAACCACUCUUUCAAUUGAUGCAUUCUUGUCGCUACUUGUGUUUUUGAUGCUUAUUGAAGGCAAUCUAUCACUAUUUUUACCUCUUUGUAAUGACUAUUUACAUCUUUGUACUUAUCAGAUUGAACUUGAAAGGAAAUAGUGAGGUUUAUUCUCUGGGAUUUUGCUUGGAUGAGGAAUGUUGGAGAGUGUAUGAGCAGGAUGUACACAGUCUGCUUAAUCAAGGAUUGACUGAUAGAGCAAAGUUUAUUCGUGUUAUUUGGAGGAACACUUAUUCGGACUUUAAUGUUGAAAAUGUACAGAAUCUAUGAUUGACUUUAAUUUUUUAAAAUUUUUUAUAGUUCUACUUCUAAUCCUAGGUCAUGAAUCCAGGGCUUAUCAGCACUUGAUAGUGAGCCAUUAUUUGUUGGAAUUUCAGUGAGCUCUGUAGAGAAGGCUUUUAGGGUUGUAGAUAUUGGCCCAAAUGCUGAAAAGAAAGACGAGGUAUUGUUUUCAUUUCUUUUUAUUGAUAAGUUUGUGUUGAUUGCUCGAAUCAUCUAGUUUGGACUAAUCUUCAUUUUCCUGCAACAGGCUCUCAUGUUUCGAAAAUUUUGGGGUGAGAAGGCUGAGCUUCGGAGAUUUCAAGAUGGUAAAAUUGCAGAAAGCACAGGUGAGAAAGUAAUGGUCCUGUAUUGGCUGAUUUGAGAAUUAAGUUGUGUAAUUGCCCCUUCAGACUCCAUUCUUCAAUCCAAAUUGGAAAGUUUAGCUUGACUGCUACUCCCUU
rnacentral:lncRNA from 1 species